UUUAAAUUGUCCCUUACAUGUUAUUGUUUAGUAUAAAUACCAACUCAAUUCUCACACCUUUACAUCAUCAAUCACUUCUAAUUCUUUUCCAUCCAAUAAAAGACCGCACUUUAUUUUAUUCAAUAACAUUUUGGAAAAAAAAUGAAAUCCUCCUCCGCCAUCCUCCUCCUCCUCCUGGCUUUUUUUCUCUCUGCCACCGCCCAUUCAGCUGAAGCACCUACAAGUUCACCACUUUUAUCGAAUAUUUGUGAGUCUGCCGAGGAUGAUGAUAAAGCAUAUUGUCGUCAUUUCAUGAAUGAUAACCCAGAAUGCUCAGACAUAAAAUGUCUUAUGCAAAAAUCCAUCAGUGAUGCUGACAACGCAGCUUCCCUCUGCCUCGUAAUAGGUUCAGAAACUUUAAAGACAACGAAAUACAUUCGAGCAACCAAAAAAUGCAUCAGACAUUUCGAGUCCGUUGAAGAAAUCAUCAAAGGUGCAGAUACAUUGGUUAAAGAUGAAAAGUAUGAUUUGAUCGCAGAAAAGUAUGAAUUGAUCUACCAUCAUACAGAGAAAUGUGUUGUAGCCUACGGUGCUGGUACAAAUCCUUUCAACUUGGGGAUGAGGAAGGUCCUUAAAUCUUUGGACGUAGGAACUGUCAUCAUGGAAUAUAAAAAAACUCACUAAAUUGAAGAUGGAGAUCCAAACGAGAUCAUUGAUUAUCUCAAUUAUAUUAUGCUAAUUAUGAGGGAGCGGCUCUUGAUUAUAUAUUCAGCUCAUUGUGAAUUUUUUGUGUGAAUUGAAGUGUCUAAAUUUUACAAAAACAAAUUCUAUUUUCUUUUUUAUGAUAUGAAUUGAAAAAUUUAUUAUCUGUCCUUGUCAAUUAAGAAAACGCUUCAAUUUCACCAUUUUCAUCUGGACCAGAGCAGGUCAUUACAAAAAAUAAAACAUUGUGUGACUGAGUUUUGAUGAUGAAAAUCUGUCAUUACAAGUGAUCAGUGACGGAUUUUCGUCAUCAAAAGACCAUCAUGACGAUGACCGUCAGGAAAUCACCAUAUCCGUCAUUGAUAAUCUGUCAUCUAUUAUUUCAUCUCAUUUCCCACCAAAAAAUAAUACAUGGCGGAAAUCCGCCACUAAAUCUGAAAUUUUUCGCGGGAACUAUUAGAUUAGAUAACAGUAUUAGUUAAAGCAACAACUAUAGGUUGUUAGAAUAAUAGUUACAAGUAUAGACUAUAAAUAUGUAAUCAAACCAUUAAUAUAAUCAAUACAAUUUGGUUAUCAUUUACACCAUCUUAUAUGGUAUCAGUUUUUCGGGUUUAGAAUCAAGGAUGACGUUUUCCGCUGCAGAUUCGGGCGCAAAUGCUCCAUCAUCAAGGAUAGUGAUGAAGUCAAUGAAAUGCGUCCAACUGGAUAAGAGUAAUUACUACUCAUGGGAGGCACAAUUUUCGGCCAUGCUUAGGGGGUUUCAACUCUUCGAUUACGUUCUUGGGAAGGUUGAACUUUCGUCGCCAUCAUCGAUCUAGCAAGAUCAAUUGAUUUUGAGCUGGAUCUUGACCGGGAUCUCAACGACCAUUCUUCCACAAGUGGCAUCUCGGAAGACAUCGGCGGAGAUUUGGGAUGCAUUACGCAAACUCUACUCAUCGGGAACACAAGCAAGACAACUUUAUAUUCGCCUUCAACUCCAAUCGAUUCGAAAGGGAGGAUUAAAUAUUGAAGAGUACCUGUCAAAGAUUUCUAUUUUAAAAGAUGCUCUCGCAUCAACAGGAGAGGGACUUAAAGAAUCAGAAAUUGUGCUAAUCACCUUGGGAGGAUUGGGGGANNNNNNNNNNNNNNNNNNNNNNNNNNNNNNNNNNNNNNNNNNNNNNNNNNNNNNNNNNNNNNNNNNNNNNNNNNNNNNNNNNNNNNNNNNNNNNNNNNNNAAAAGGGGACACACGACGCCGGAUUGCUAUAAUCGUUUAAACCUAGAACGAUUUCCGCCGGCGCAUGGGAGGGCAAUUUCGUCUUCUGGAAUAACUGGAAAUUUUAACAAUACACCCUCCUCAUUUGGAACAAAUGGGAAUUUUCAUAAUACACCUUCAAGUCACAAUACAAAUGGGAAUUUUAGAAACACACCCUCGGCUAAUCUAAUUUAUGCAGAAGGUCCAACAAUAAUGUGGUACCCCGAUUCAGGGGCGACAUCACACGUUACAGCCGCACCUGAAAAUAUCCAAUACCCCAGAGUGUAUAAUGGUAAAAAUUUUACGACGGAUGGGAGUCCAUUGUCAAUUUCUUACUCUGGUCAAAGCAGAGCUAUUAUAGAUUCUAAUAAUUUCAUUCUUAAUGAUUUACUACUAGCCUUCGUUCUAAUAUAGUACCGGUAGCCUUCAGACGAAACUACAGGUGCUGGUCCCCAGAUAUCUGCAUAUAUGAUCUCAAGAGGAUAAUUGUAUGUAGAAUUUGUUGCUUUAUGAUUUAUUAAAUGGCUUUUAGCUAUGAUACAUGAUUCACAAUCAGAGAAUUUUUGAGUAGACAUGACAAUAUGAUUUUUAUUAACCAACUCUUUAACUGCUCUGAAGUGUAAGUGUCCUAGCCGUGAGUGCCAUUGAUCUCCUGUAACCGCCGAGAGUGCUUCUUCAUUUUUCCCGAUUUUUAGUGGUAGUUGAUAUAAUCCAUUUUUCUCCCGACCUUCAGCCAGCACCUUUUUAGUGUCGAGAUCCCGAACUUUGACACUCUGUUUGUCAAAUUUAAUACAAACUCUGUUGUCAGCACAUAAUCGUUGCACAGAUAAUAAAUUUCUCGAACUAUCUGGUACUAGUAGCAUAUCAUUCAAACAUAAAUUGAUAUUGUUAAUUUUAGCUUUGAAUUUCCCCAAUUGAGUAAUAGGCAUACUAUCCCCAUUAGCCACGAAAACAGAAGAAAUACCUUGAUAAGGUUGUGCAUCCUGGAUUAGCGUACCUGACUCAGUUAUAUGUGUCGUUGCUCCUGAGUCGGGGUACCACAUUGACAUGGCACUACGAUUCACGGCCAAGUUUGCCUCAGGUUAGGGUUGAGUUGCAGAAGAAAUUCCUACUGGAAUUAAAGUUCGUCCAUGUUUUGGGGGAAAACGUGCAAAAUUCACUCUAUUGUAACAAUUAAGAGCACCAUGCCCCUUUUUAUUGCAGAUUUGGCAGGGAUGCGUUCGCGCGGAAGAGGAGAAAUCGGAAUCGCGCGAUUUUGUAGAGGCAGAGGAGUCGGAUGCGGCUCUGGAUUUUGCCGCGACGUUCGCCUCCAGGGUUCUUGAUUCCGACGACUGCUGAAAACGUAAAUCAUGUUCGAUUAGGAGCUGCUGGAAUCCGGCGAACAACAUGCUAUGGUCAAAUCUGGUGGUGAUUGAUGUUACGAACGCUUGAAAAUCGACGCCGAGUCCUCCUAGCGCAAGAAGAAUUAGUUGCGAUUCCUUCAUUCCUUCACCACAAUCCGAGAGUUUGUCUUUGAGUAUACAGAUUUUUCGCAAGUAUUCUUUUACCGAAAGGUCAUUCUUCUUGAUACUUUGCAGUUGAGACCGCAAGUGAAGGAUCCGUGUCUCGGAGUCCGAUGAAUGCAAUUGACGCAAGCAUUCCCAGACCGUAGCAGAUGUGGUGAGCGCAGCCACUUGGGGGAGAAUCGUCGGCGAGAUCGUCGACAAUAGCCAGCUAAGGAUGAGCUGGUCCUGCUGCUCCGCUAGAGGAUCAUCAGUCACAUUAAUCCUCCCUUCCACAUAUUCCAGCAGCUUAUACCCUCGGAGUAAUGCCGAGAAUUGAGCCUUCCAAGAGAAGUAGUUUUCCCCAUCAAGAGUAACACAUUUCAUAUAUUUCAUCAUGAUGACUUUUGUCGAUGAAGCAGGAGACGAGUUCUUACCGGCAUCUUGAGUCCCUGCAGCGAAAGAAGGAUUGGCAGAGCCGAAGCUGUUGGUUGGUGAUGAUACCAUAUUGAAACAGGGAAUGAGAGAUUCAAUGAAUGGAGCUAAGAUGAUGAAGAUGGCAAGAAUCGAAUGAGUAUUAUUGAUGGAGUGGUGGUGUUUAUAUACAAGUAUUAAACCUAUAACAAUUUCAAUUAGUUAAGAAGUUUCUAGAUUUAGUUAGUUACAAUAUGAAGUAAAUUUGUUUUGAACAUAAAAAUUGUAAACGAAGAAGGUCACUGGUAUAAAUGGUAUUAUUACUACAUUUCUGUUUUCUUUUGUUUUACAUAGGAUGUCGUCAACUAAAACUUGAUUCGUUAAGCUCGAGCUCGCGAGCCUAAAGCUCAAUAAGCUUGAUAAACUUAUCGAGCCGAGCUAGGACUUUUCAAGCUCGGCUCGAUAAACUCAUUAAAAGCUUUUUAAUAAUUAAAUAAAAUAUAUAUAUUAAGAGAUGGUAUUAAUUGAUAAAGAUUAUUGAAUAAAUUGCAAAAAAAAUUAAAUAAAAUCUAAAUCUAAAAAAAACUAAAUAUAGAUAUUUUUCUUAAAAUAUUUACAUUUUUUUUUUAAUUUGCAGAAUUGUGAGUUAAAUUUCAAGUUCGAGCUCGCAUUUGAACUCACGAGUUUCGAACCCGAGCCUGAACAAUUUCUUAACGAGUUGAGUCUGAGUCCGAGCUUGAACAAUUUCUUAAUGAGUCGAGUCCGAGCUCGGCCAAACCAGGCUCGACGAGUUACGAGGCGAGCCUGAGUCCGAAUCUAUAAAUAAAAGCUCGGUUCGUUUGACACCCUAGUUUACAUUAACAACACCUUAUCUAGAAUAAGUUAAACAUUAUGAAUCAUUCCUACAUUCACUCAAUACUUGUUAUAAAAAGCUUAAAAAACACAACAACAAAAAAUAUCACAACUAAGAAUUAAACUAAAUUUUGCAUGACUUUGAAUUUAACUGUUUUUUCCAUUACAAUUUUAAACAUGAAACCAAUGGCUUUAAAUUGUCCCUUACAUGUUAUUGUUUAGUAUAAAUACCAACUCAAUUCUCACACCUUUACAUCAUCAAUCACUUCUAAUUCUUUUCCAUCCAAUAAAAGACCGCACUUUAUUUUAUUCAAUAACAUUUUGGAAAAAAAAUGAAAUCCUCCUCCGCCAUCCUCCUCCUCCUCCUGGCUUUUUUUCUCUCUGCCACCGCCCAUUCAGCUGAAGCACCUACAAGUUCACCACUUUUAUCGAAUAUUUGUGAGUCUGCCGAGGAUGAUGAUAAAGCAUAUUGUCGUCAUUUCAUGAAUGAUAACCCAGAAUGCUCAGACAUAAAAUGUCUUAUGCAAAAAUCCAUCAGUGAUGCUGACAACGCAGCUUCCCUCUGCCUCGUAAUAGGUUCAGAAACUUUAAAGACAACGAAAUACAUUCGAGCAACCAAAAAAUGCAUCAGACAUUUCGAGUCCGUUGAAGAAAUCAUCAAAGGUGCAGAUACAUUGGUUAAAGAUGAAAAGUAUGAUUUGAUCGCAGAAAAGUAUGAAUUGAUCUACCAUCAUACAGAGAAAUGUGUUGUAGCCUACGGUGCUGGUACAAAUCCUUUCAACUUGGGGAUGAGGAAGGUCCUUAAAUCUUUGGACGUAGGAACUGUCAUCAUGGAAUAUAAAAAAACUCACUAAAUUGAAGAUGGAGAUCCAAACGAGAUCAUUGAUUAUCUCAAUUAUAUUAUGCUAAUUAUGAGGGAGCGGCUCUUGAUUAUAUAUUCAGCUCAUUGUGAAUUUUUUGUGUGAAUUGAAGUGUCUAAAUUUUACAAAAACAAAUUCUAUUUUCUUUUUUAUGAUAUGAAUUGAAAAAUUUAUUAUCUGUCCUUGUCAAUUAAGAAAACGCUUCAAUUUCACCAUUUUCAUCUGGACCAGAGCAGGUCAUUACAAAAAAUAAAACAUUGUGUGAUUGAGUUUUGAUGAUGAAAAUCUGUCAUUACAAGUGAUCAGUGACGGAUUUUCGUCAUCAAAAGACCAUCAUGACGAUGACCGUCAGGAAAUCACCAUAUCCGUCAUUGAUAAUCUGUCAUCUAUUAUUUCAUCUCAUUUCCCACCAAAAAAUAAUACAUGGCGGAAAUCCGCCACUAAAUCUGAAAUUUUUCGCGGGAACUAUUAGAUUAGAUAACAGUAUUAGUUAAAGCAACAACUAUAGGUUGUUAGAAUAAUAGUUACAAGUAUAGACUAUAAAUAUGUAAUCAAACCAUUAAUAUAAUCAAUACAAUUUGGUUAUCAUUUACACCAUCUUAUAUGGUAUCAGUUUUUCGGGUUUAGAAUCAAGGAUGACGUUUUCCGCUGCAGAUUCGGGCGCAAAUGCUCCAUCAUCAAGGAUAGUGAUGAAGUCAAUGAAAUGCGUCCAACUGGAUAAGAGUAAUUACUACUCAUGGGAGGCACAAUUUUCGGCCAUGCUUAGGGGGUUUCAACUCUUCGAUUACGUUCUUGGGAAGGUUGAACUUUCGUCGCCAUCAUCGAUCUAGCAAGAUCAAUUGAUUUUGAGCUGGAUCUUGACCGGGAUCUCAACGACCAUUCUUCCACAAGUGGCAUCUCGGAAGACAUCGGCGGAGAUUUGGGAUGCAUUACGCAAACUCUACUCAUCGAGAACACAAGCAAGACAACUUUAUAUUCGCCUUCAACUCCAAUCGAUUCGAAAGGGAGGAUUAAAUAUUGAAGAGUACCUGUCAAAGAUUUCUAUUUUAAAAGAUGCUCUCGCAUCAACAGGAGAGGGACUUAAAGAAUCAGAAAUCGUGCUAAUCACCUUGGGAGGAUUGGGGGACAAAUUUGAAUCUUUUGUAACCGCAAUCACCACACCAUUCAAUCCAGACCUAACGUUCACCGGAGUAUGCGAGAUGUUGAUGGACCACAACCUCCGACUGAAGAAAUUGCGAGUUGCAGCCGUCGCCGGAAAUGCUGCUGCCGUCGUCGCCAAAAUGCCUCAACCGCCGCAGCAAGAACGACGCUACCAGAACACCUACGGCGGUGGACAGAAAUCGCAAAGAGGGGAUCUCCGCUGCCAGAUCUGCUCGAAAAGGGGACACACGGCGCCGGAUUGCUAUAAUCGUUUAAACCUAGAACGAUUUCCGCCGACGCAUGGGAGGGCAAUUUCGUCUUCUGGAAUAACUGGAAAUUUUAACAAUACACCCUCCUCAUUUGGAACAAAUGGGAAUUUUCAUAAUACACCUUCAAGUCACAAUACAAAUGGGAAUUUUAGAAACACACCCUCGGCUAAUCUAAUUUAUGCAGAAGGUCCAACAAUAAUGUGGUACCCCGAUUCAGGGGCGACAUCACACGUUACAGCCGCACCUGAAAAUAUCCAAUACCCCAGAGUGUAUAAUGGUAAAAAUUUUACGUCGAAUGGGAGUCCAUUGUCAAUUUCUUACUCUGGUCAAAGCAGAGCUAUUAUAGAUUUUAAUAAUUUCGUUCUUAAUGAUUUACUACUAGCCUUCGUUCUAAUAUAGUACCGGUAGCCUUCAGACGAAACUACAGGUGCUGGUCCCCAGAUAUCUGCAUAUAUGAUCUCAAGAGGAUAAUUGUAUGUAGAAUUUGUUGCUUUAUGAUUUAUUAAAUGGCUUUUAGCUAUGAUACAUGAUUCACAAUCAGAGAAUUUUUGAGUAGAUGCGAGCCCGAGUCCGAAUUUAUAAAUAAAAGCUCGGUUCGUUUGACACCCUAGUUUACAUUAACAACACCUUAUCUAGAAUAAGUUAAACAUUAUGAAUCAUUCCUACAUUCACUCAAUACUUGUUAUAAAAAGCUUAAAAAACACAACAACAAAAAAUAUCACAACUAAGAAUUAAACUAAAUUUUGCAUGACUUUGAAUUUAACUGUUUUUUCCAUUACAAUUUUAAACAUGAAACCAAUGGCUUUAAAUUGUCCCUUACAUGUUAUUGUUUAGUAUAAAUACCAACUCAAUUCUCACACCUUUACAUCAUCAAUCACUUCUAAUUCUUUUCCAUCCAAUAAAAGACCGCACUUUAUUUUAUUCAAUAACAUUUUGGAAAAAAAAUGAAAUCCUCCUCCGCCAUCCUCCUCCUCCUCCUGGCUUUUUUUCUCUCUGCCACCGCCCAUUCAGCUGAAGCACCUACAAGUUCACCACUUUUAUCGAAUAUUUGUGAGUCUGCCGAGGAUGAUGAUAAAGCAUAUUGUCGUCAUUUCAUGAAUGAUAACCCAGAAUGCUCAGACAUAAAAUGUCUUAUGCAAAAAUCCAUCAGUGAUGCUGACAACGCAGCUUCCCUUUGUCUCGUAAUAGGUUCAGAAACUUUAAAGACAACGAAAUACAUUCGAGCAACCAAAAAAUGCAUCAGACAUUUUGAGUCCAUCGAAGAAAUCAUCAAAGGUGCAGAUACAUUGGUUAAAGAUGAAAAGUAUGAUUUGAUCGCAGAAAAGUAUGAAUUGAUCUACCAUCAUACAGAGAAAUGUGUUGUAGCUUACGGUGCUGGUACAAAUCCUUUCAAUUUGGGGAUGAGGAAGGUCCUUAAAUCUUUGGACGUAGGAACUGUCAUCAUGGAAUAUAAAAAAACUCACUAAAUUGAAGAUGGAGAUCCAAACGAGAUCAUUGAUUAUCUCAAUUAUAUUAUGCUAAUUAUGAGGGAGCGGCUCUUGAUUAUAUAUUCAGCUCAUUGUGAAUUUUUUGUGUGAAUUGAAGUGUCUAAAUUUUACAAAAACAAAUUCUAUUUUCUUUUUUUUGAUAUGAAUUGAAAAAUUUAUUAUCUGUCCUUGUCAAUUAAGAAAACGCUUCAAUUUCACCAUCUUCAUCUGGAGGUCAUUACAAAAAAUAAGACAUUGUAUGACGGAGUUUUGAUGGUGAGAAUCUGCCAUUAUAAGUGAUCAGUGACGGAUUUCCGUCAUCAAAAGACCGUCAGAAAAUCACCAUAUCGUCAUCUAUUAUUCCACCUCAUUUCCCACCAAAAAAUAAUACAUGGUGGAAAUCCGUCACUAAAUCUGAAAUUUUUCACGGGAACUGAAAAUUAUAUGAUGACGGAAAUCCGUCAUGUAUUAUAUGACGCAAAAGAAAUUUGACGUCAAUUUAUCUAUGGCGGUUAAAUACAUUGAUGGUGGAUUUCCGCCAUUCAACUUCAAAACAUACAGUGGCGGAAAUUCGCGAUUAUAAAGCUCAUUAGGGCGGUUGUCUCCAUCUAUCGAUGGCGGAAAUCUGCCACCAAUAACCUUGGAAGGGCGGUUAAAACCCAUCUUUAAAUGACAGAUAUCCGUCAUAGGAAACCCUUAUAGGCGGAAUCACAAACUUGACUUCAAAAUAAACGAAAUGUUUGUCAAGUCCAUGCUGAAAGUUCUGAAUGCUUCAAUCAUCGCCAUAACUGUUGUUCACAUCGACUCCACCUCUUUGUUUACUUUCGAUAAUUUCUUUAUGUUUGUGUUCUGAAAUUUUAAAUAUAUUCCAAAAUUAUAAAAAUGAGUUCGAACAUUUAUGAAAUCAAUUAAAUAAAUUAAUAAUACCUUAAUUUUAAUCAUUUUUGCCGUCCAUCUUAAACGUUCGUCAUUAGAUAAGAAUUAUUUUCAGAGACACUUUUUCCUUUUCAAUCAGAAGUGGCUCAUCUUUCGCUGGUCGUACUAACCGUUGCUGCAAACGAUGUUGAUAUUACAAUUAAUUCAGUUCCACCGAUCACCAGUGCUACCUUCACUGGCGACUUGUCGAAAUUGGUCUACAUCAAAUCUGCAAAGAUUGUCACUUGGUGAACUUUUUCGCCCAAAUAACUAAUAAUUUAUAGAUAAAAUUAAGAAUAUUAAGGCCUAUUAGCUCAGUUGGUUAGAGCGUCGUGCUAAUAACGCGAAGGUCACAGGUUCGAGACCUGUAUAGGCCAUUUUAUUUUUUUAUAAUAAUAGUUUAUUUUAAAUAAAAGUAUUUCAGUAAUAUUUUCUUUUAUAAUCUGGCGGGAAGAGUAGCGACGACCACUCGAGUGCGAUUUCUUUCCGACUUCACGCUGCCUUUUUUCCGAUUGAAAAAAAAAAGAAUUCAGAGUCUGUUCCUACACUUAUUAAAUGGUCUUCUGACGAGCUCUGCAUUAUGGGAAUCGACGAAGGAUCCCGUUUUAGGUAUUUCCUUCCUUUCAAAGUUUCAUUCAUUAUGGAAAUGAUAGUACGGUGGUUGCAGGUCCGAUGGUUUAUGGAUGCAUGUAUUCCCUGUACCAUUUCUUACAAAAACACACUUACAUCUCUAGAAUUUGCAGGUCCGACAUUCCCCCUAAUCAUUUCAGAAUUUGCAGGCCUCUUCUUUUGUAAAAUAAUUAUUUUUGGACAGAUUCAAAGACACUGAAAGAGGAAAAGAGAGAAGAGUUGUUUGAAAAUCUGAAGAUGGACAAUUGCAUUGGAUGGGAAGCUUUCAGCUAAGAUGCUAAAAAAGUGUGUGAAUAAAUCGAUUAUUUAGUAUCCAUCUGACCAUCUAUAUAUAUAUAUCUAUUUUGUAUUUAGUUUUUUCUUAUGUGAAUGAAGUUUUGUUAUCGACAUACACAGGACAAAGAUCAAUCUGAAUGAAAUUUCACACGAUUCGGCAAUGGGGCUUAUCAGAAGGGUUCUUGACUUUGGUGUAAUGUUAACUGAAGUGAACUGAUUGACUCUCAUUCUUGAUAUAUAUUUUCCCAUAAACUCUUAUUUCUUGAAUUUCCAUAAUCAAUUACUGAUCCAAUUGUUUUCCCUUGAUUAGAUCAACUUGGAAACAGUUGGAGAUGUAGACAAGUACAGAAUCAAAAUAUCUGAGAGAUUCCCCGGUAUUAAAAUCGUUGUGUCGUAAAAGGCUGACAGUAUUUACCCAAUUGUUAGUGAAGCUAGCAUUAUCGCAAAGAUUGUAUAACAGACACCUCUUUAUUAUCUAGAAUUAACUUGAAUAACCAAUCAUAUGAUCAAAUCAAUUCAGGUUUCUCAAGAUCUUAACUGGGUGCUUAGCGAAACUGCUAAGAAUAUAGAUAGGAACUUUGGAUCUGGAUACCCAGGAGGUAAAAUAAUUUUCUCUUUUAAAUUUUUCUUUUGCUCAUCAAUUAGUUUAGCAGUAAAGUUUCAUUGGUUGUUAAAAGAAGUCAAAAUCUCCACAAUUCUGUAAUUAGAAUUUAUAAGCAUCUUACUUUCUGCUUUUCAUCAUCAGAUCCUGAAACAAAGACAUAGUUAAAAAGCAACAAACAUUUUGUAUUUGGAUUCCCAUCUCUAGUUCGCAUCAGCUGGGAAUCAUGUUCACCUUAUUCAGACUGUGUUGAAGUUGCAUGGUGGGUUCUUCUGAUCUUGUUAAAAUUUGGUGUUGCUUACUUCAGUUGUUAGAAUUUAAAAAGAUUCUUGGUCAUAUUUGCUAUUUACAGGGAGAAUGAUGAUGAGGAUGCUGAGUCUUCAAGCAAGAGCACUGGUUCCAGUGAUGACGGCGCCACGAGGAAAAAAGGGAAGAAGUGGAACCAGGUAGAUGUAAGCUUCAACUUAUUAAACAUUUCAAAUGAUUUUUGAUCCUUCGUUUUAUUUACCACUACUACUAGUGUUUACUAUGAUUUUUACAAGUGUAAAAAUAUUGUUAUAUUUUUGGUCAGUUUAAAAAAAAAAGUGGCUAUCAUCUUUCUGUUUCCAUUUUCCGCAUGUUGACACGUCAGACUGAACAGUCAACGUUGUUCUUAUCCGCAUCGCAUUCACAUUUUCAUAUCCCGGUGACGUGGUGGGUCCAUCUAAAUGGAUAAGAUUAAAAUAAUCUGUUUGUAGUUGCCACGUCAUUAUCCACCGACCACAGGCAACUACUAUUUAUUACCAUCAUAACCCUGCCUGCUUCAAUUGUUCCGCGUUUGCCAUUCCUCUCUGUUCAGAUAUUUAUAAUCUGAUCUUCUUCUCUCGCCCGAUCACUGCAGUGGCCAUCCAUCUAUGAUCUAUCAAUCGAUCUACGGCUUCUUUGCUACUUAUUUCUUCAAUGGAAGCUUUCCGACCGAAGAAAUCCCCCUUAUCCGAUAGAUUGUUUGGCAGUUUUGCAGCUUCUGAAACCCUAGAAACAGCUGUUCGCGGUAACGACGGUGGUGAGUUGGAUGAGAAGGAAGUUUUCUGUGUAGGUACAGAUUUCUAUUCGAAAUCUUUUCCGUCGGACACUGAGAAUCAUUCCUCGGCAUCUGCCACCAUGUCUCCUUCCGGUAGUUUCCGACUGCUUCCUUCUGUACAGAGUUUCGGCAUUCUCGCCGCCCUCCCGGAGGACAUCAAAUCUCAGAAGAAGAUGCCAGUGCGGAGCAACAGCUUCAUGCAACGGAAAUCCUCUAUGUCGUCGAUGAAUACGACAUCAACCUCGCCGUCUUCUUCGUCGGCGAGGGUGAUGAUUCCGAAGCCGAAGUCAUCGGAGUACAACGGAGGGGCAAUUAUUUUCCCACAGUCCGCACCGAUGAACGUACCGGUUGUGUCUAGAGAGAGUGAGAGAAAUCGGAAUUGGUGGGGGGAGGUUGAUUACGAAUAUGUAAGCGAUGCUGAUGAUGAUGAAGAAGAUGAGGGGAUGCUUCCGCCUCAUGAGAUCGUGGCAAGAGCAUCGCUAAGGGAUUCACCGAUGACAACAUUCUCGGUGCUGGAAGGCGUCGGUAGGACUCUGAAAGGGAGUGAUCUCAGGCGUGUACGCAAUGCUGUCUGGAGACAAACAGGUUUUCUAGAUUGACGGUCAGCCGUCUGUUGUUUGAGUUCUAGAGCAAGUCUUUUUUUUUUGCUGCGUUUUUUCCCGUUGGUUGGUAAAUGGUAACCCAAACAAACAGUGUGUUUUGACUGCAAAAAAUAUCUCUAUUUAACGAGGUGGAUUAUUUAAUUUCCCCACACAAUUUGCACUUUGCCCCAAAGACCAAACCAAAUAACCAAUUAUUCUUGCAGCUUUAAAUAUAUUUUUCUUGGCUAUUGACUUAUUUUUAAGAUAAAAUCAUCUGGUGAUUUUUUUAAUUUAAAAAAAAAUAGUGUCAUGUGCGAAAUAAAAAUAGUGUCAUAAAUGACAUAUUUAAAAUUUAAAUAUCUAAAAUUUUAAAUGGAUAAAUUUUAAAUGGAUAAACUUUUUACCUUGAUUUUUAAAGGACAUGAGAUUUAAUAAUCCUAUAUCUAAUAUAAUAUAAUUUAAUUUAUUAAAAAAGAAGAGCAAAAAUUAUUUUUCAAAAAACCGGAACGACUCGUUCGGGUUUCGCCCUGUCCCCAGACCCGUCCCGGAAUAUGACUGAGGCAACGAAGCAAAAAAAUUAAAAACGAGAUAGAAUAUCUGCCCCGUCCCGUAGCACCCCACCUUAUCUUAUCCAUUACUUUACAACUUACAAUUCCACUAAAUAUUGAUUUCCUCAUUUUCAUGCUUCCAAAUUGAAAUUAAAGAAAUCUUUCCUCAAAAGCUUGUGGAUUAGUUAAUUUUUUUCUUGUACAUCCAUUUAGAAACAUGAUGAUACCAGUCUGCAGUCUUAGUGUCUUACUGGGUUGGUUCAUUAGCCCAGUUUAUGAUCCACGAAUCAGGUGUGGACGCCGGACGUACAACCCAUCCGUAAUUCGUUAGGAACCUGUGUAAAUAUCUCAUCGAUUCACAAACUAUGGAUUUUUCUGUCUGUUGUCGAAAUUUUUUAAAAAAAUCUAAGAACACAAGUGAUGUUUACCCUCACAUGAUAUAUCAGAGUUAUAUAAUGUAUCACUAAAUACAUCGUAAUAAAAAUUACAUACACAGCAAGACUCAAAAACUGAAUCAUCAGAAAUUUUAAUAGUUAUUCAUUUGUGUAAAUUUAUCACAUGUGUCAGGCAAAUUCUAUGGGAAAAUAAUUUAGAAUCGAGUUGAAUUCUAUGGUCGGAGUUAACACUGAAUUCAAUGUGAAAGGAAAAAAUGAGUUUUAUUUCAUAAUAAUCAAAACUAUUAUACACUAAACUAUUCUUAUGAAAAGGAAAUGGUGAGAAAGUUUGGGAGAAUGUAAUUUAAUCCGUCAUUUUCAUUUAAAAACGUUAUUUAAAUCAUUCUGUUCUGUUGAUGGGUAAAAUAUCGAAAAAUCCUCCCCCUUUUGUUUACAAUCGGGGUAUUUAAGGUGAUGGAGGACGUGUGCUGCAUGGACACGUGGUAGGUCCGGUGUCUCCAUGCCGAUGGAAACCGGACAUGCAGCCGUGGUUUUGGCUGCAUGUGCUGGUGUUACGCAAUUGGAUAUCAACAGUUAUUCCCCUCCUAAAAGAAACCAAAAAGAAACGUUCUGCCCGUGGAGAUGGAGACAACGCGAUCCUUGUUGGAAGAAUACGGACUAGAGUUAGUUUAUCUGUAGACCGUGAUCGGGGGCCUCAUGGUUAUGUCAUCGGAUGACGGAUCUGAUGGUCAGCUAACGUCGCUCCUAGAGAGCCUGAACUUCUUGCUUUUCGAUGUGAAAAAAUGUUUCACGCUUCAACCGAAGGCUGACAUUGCCGAACCUAGUCUCUGUGUCUGUGAUGGUGUGUGCGAGUAUCGUGCAUCCAAUUCCACCCCCCAUUCAAGCCGUCGUACGGUGCGCAAAAGCCCGCGCUGAGGUGUUGAUCAUGGAUGGCAGAUCGUCCACUGUCGUUUUCUUUUACUCAUCUUUGUAUCUUGUAAUUUUUAUAGCUUCUUUGUACUUUGUUUGCAUUUGAAUAAUAAAAUGGGUUGUUUGCAAUUUUAGUUUCUUAUGUCUUUAAAAAGAGGGGUGUUGCUGGUUUGUUUGUAAGAGCUGUUCUUCAGGCGAUUUUUACUUGUCGCGUAAUAUGUCUAAAACUUCCCUAAAACUGACACCCUUUUCGACCUGUUUUUCGCGAGGUGUUUGUCGAUCUGGUUCGCCGCUGACGGCUGCUUGGGUGGAAUCAAAUAUGGAUUUUUCUAUUUACUUUCCAAAGUAAGUUUCUUCCUUUUUUCUUGAGAAGAGGGGUGUAAUGAUGCGUUUUUCUUUCUCUCUUUUUUUGGUGAAAAUUUCAAUUUUCUGCCGGCGCUUCCUUCAUCUUGCACUUCCACAGCGUCUCGUCUUGUCACGGUUGCGUCAGAUGGAUUGCGCCAAUCCAUUAAUGUAGAUUCUGAACGUGUCAGGUUUCCUUUCUAAACCCUCCACUUCGCUAUUUAAAUAGCGACCUCAUUCUUCCAUUUUUGCAGCGAGAUUUUGGUACCACCAACCCCCGGGCGUGAAGCGGACAAAAUAGAGCCUGGUGAGGGAAUAUUUUCUCUGUUGUCGUACUGUCGUUCCGAUUAAAUGGCUUUCCUUUUUACUGCUUACCACUCGUUUGCCUUUUUUUUCUUUUUCAGACUAUGCGUUCUUGGAACUUACUGAUUAUUUUGAUAGAGACGCGUUGACUCGCUCGCCACAGCUUAGUGCUCCUUCCCCAUUCCUGGCUAAUUCCCGGAUCUGCCGGUAGGUGAUCUUUCUUUUUUUAUCUCUGUUCUUCAUCAGGUCGUUAACUUCUUAUACAUUUCUUUCUCUUCUUCUUCUUUUUUUCUUUCUCUUUUUUUAAACCACUGAGAGUGACACUCGUGUUGAGACCCCCCCCGGGGGGUGGUACUUCUGUUCCGUCCAAUAUUGUUGCUUGGAGUUUUUUUCCGAUAUCUGUGACGCUAGAUGGCAUGCCGGUUCCAUUUUUCUAUUCCGCUCCAGUGACUACCGCUCGUUGGAAUGGCGUGACAGAGUUUGGGAGGGAUAUAGGGCUCCAUAACCCGGAGUGGAGGUCUCUGCAAUCCGUUCCUUGCCCGACUCUGUUGGAAGGUGCUAUUGCUACAAAUCUAAAUGUGAGAAGAAGAAAAUUCCGAGCUUGUUGUGAUUCUUUCUCCUCUUUUCUUUCUUCUUUCUUUUUUCUUUUAAAAUCUGGUGUUUUCUUGCCGUCGCUGCUUCCUCUCAAGGUUGCCUAUGCUUAGGUUAAUUAUAUGGUGUCGGAGAACGCAAGCUAUCGUACCAAGAAUACCCGUCUUAGCGCCAUGAUGAUUUUGACCAUCGCUUUUAUUUUGACCAUGAUGAUUUCCUUUUUCCUUCUACUAGCGUAGUUGGUGAUUGAAUUGUUCGUAUAAGUAAUGAUGUUAGUAGAAGUACACUACAAAGUAGCGUAUUGGGUAAGUACUAAUAUUAGCAGAAGUACACUACAUAGUAGCGUAGUUGGUGGUUGAAUUGUUCGUAUAAGUAGUGAUAUUAGCAGAAGUACACUACAAAGUAGCGUAUUGGGUAAGUACUAAUAUUAGCAGAAGUACAUUAUAUAUUAGCGUAGUUGGUGAUUGAAUUGUUCAUAUAAGUAGUGAUAUUAGCAGAAGUAUACUAGAAAGUAACGUAAUGGGUAAGUACUAAUAUUAGCAGAAGUAAAUUAGAAAGUAUCGUAUUGGGUAAGUACUAAUAUUAGCAGAAGUAUAUUGCAUAAUAGCGUGGUUGGUAAAUUAACACUUCUUAUAAGUAGUGAUAUUAGAAGAAGUACACUUGAAAAGUAGCGUAUUGGCUAAAUAUUAAUAUUAACAAAAGUACAUUGCAUAGUAGUGUGGUUGGUGAUUUAACACUUCGUAUAAAUAGUCAUAUUAGCAGAAGUACACUAUAAAGUAGCGUAUUGGGUAAGUACUAAUAUAUUUUUAGUCGAUCAUAAACGAACAGAAAAUCUCAUAGUUGAUGUGAAAUCAUAGUAUGAUUGAAUAGCCGAUUGAAAAGAAGAAAAUACUAAAAAGGGAAAAAAAUGUUAAGCAUUUCAUGUAAGAAGCAUAAAGGGAAAAAAAAAUAAAAAUAAAACACACACCUUCAAAUCGAAAGACAAACACACACCUUCAAAUCGAAAGACAAACACAGGGAAAUAUGAUUGUUGGGUUCCAAGAUCAGGAAAAUAUAAUAGAAGGAAAAUGAUGAACAAUUAGGAAGAUUGGAAAAAAAUAGAAGUUGAGAAAAAAAGGAAGUAAAGAAGAUUGAGACAAGGUGACAAUACCGAAUAAAGACAGAUGAAGAGAUAGGAAGGGCAAUAUGGUUGGUGUUAGGACGCUUUGUACAGAGAAAAGAUCGUGUUGACAAAAAUUAUGAGAGGAAAAAAUAUGAAUUUUACAUGAAAGAUUUAUAUUAAUAGAAGAAAAUAUUUAUAUAGCAUUGCAGUUCGAUAAAAUAUAACAACAUCCUUGUGUAAUAGAAGGAGAGAAUUGGGAAGAGAGUAUUCGGAUGGGAUGAAAGAUAAUGACAAGAGGAAAAUGACAAAGAUUUGAACAAAAAAUGCAGCACAACUAGGGGAGUACAAAUGUCAGGUUAGAUGUUGGUAAUGGUAAUGUGAGAGAGAAUAGUUGUAAGAUAUGACUACAAAAUAAAAAUGAAAGUAACAAGAAGAAUGGGAAGUAUUGCUGCAAAGGUAUACCGAAGAAGAAGAAGAAAACAUUUGCCAGACACAGGACAGAGAUAGAAUAGGAGGGAGAGAGAUGGAGGGAGAUAAAAAGAAAUUGUUUCUGGUACGUGAGCGAGAGUGAGAGAAAUAUAUAUAUUUUUUCUUUCUUCCUGACACAAGGUACUGAGGUCAGAAAAAUGAGUGAAUAAAAAAAUUGAAAAAAAAUUGAAAAUACUAAACUGAUACUAUUUUGAAAAGAGUGGUCAAGAUUCAUCAUCAUGGAAUAGACGCAGAUAAAGUUCUCACGUUCGGGUUCUCACCAGAUCUUUUUUGUAUUUACAUAGUGUUGUAGUUUUUCUGAUUAGUGAUAGUACCUUUUAAGAUUGCUCGCAUGCCAGGUUCUUGGGAUUGCUGUUCCGUCUUCAUUGAUUAGCUUGAAUGUGCCGGUUUUCCAUUCUUUUUUAAUAAUGUAUGGUCCCUCCCAAUUUUUUGAUAAUUUUCCCUUGUUCUGCUCUGUCAUUGUUAGGUGAGCAUUUCUAAUUAGUACAAGGUCUCCCGGGGUCAGCUUGUUAUUCCCCACUCUUUUGUUGAAUAUCCUUUCGAUUGAUCUUCUUUUGUAGGUUGUUCCUUCAUUUCUGCUUUUUCUCUGAUAUUUUCUAUGACAUCCAGAUUUCUUGAGAGUUUUUCUUCAUUAAUUUCUUCGUCAUACCCCACGAUUCUAGCCGAGGGCCAAACUAAUUCGCAUGGGGCUACUGCCUCGAGUCCGAACACCAGGUUAAAUGGUGUGUAUCCAUUUGUUGUUUUAAUAGUUGUUCUAUAUGCCCAUAGUACUUCCGGAAUCUUUUCUGCCCAAACUUUAGGAUUCUCAUCUACUUUCUUUUUUAGAAUCUUUAUCAGAGUUUUAUUGGUUGCUUCUACCUGACCGUUUGUUUGAAGAUGAUAGGCUGAGGCGAAACUUAGUUUGAUUUCGUUCUCUUUGCAAAAUUUUCUCAUUCCUCCUCCGGUGAACUGUGUCCCGUUGUCUGUGAUGAUUUGUAUUGGUACACCAAAUCUGCAUACAAUGCUUCUGAAAAUGAAUUUUACUGUGCUUUCUUGAGAUAUUAAUUAUUCUUACAGGUUCUGCUUCUGCCCACUUGGUAAAAUAAUCGAUUGCGCCGAACAAUUUUUUUUUCCCUUGAGAAACGGUUGGAAAUGGCCCUACUAUGUCGAUUCCCCAUCUUGCAAAUGGUAUUGGUGUGAUAAUGCUUGUUAAUUCUGUAGAUGAUAUUUUUGGGAUAUCUGCAUAGAUUUGGCAUUCUUUGCAAUUUUUUAUUAUCUUUUUCGCAUCUCAUUCCAUGUGUGACCAGUAAUAGCCUUGUCGUUGAAUAUGUAGGAAUAACUUCCUUUUCCCUUGAUGGGCUCCGUUUUCUCCGUUGUGUAUGCUUGUUGUUAUCUCCUUUCCUUCUUCUGGUGAUACACAGAUUUUGUAUGGCUGAUCCUUUGAUUAUAUUUCUUUUCUAAAUAGUUCAUUGUUGAUGAUGGUGAAAUGUGCGGAUUGAUUUUUGAUCUUUUGAUUUUUGAUUUUUUCCCCAUUCAGCUUUUCUCCACUUAGGUAUUUGUAUACAGGGGUUCUCCAAUCGGGUUUGUCUAGUGAUACUGAAUAGAUUUUAAAUGAGGGGGUUGCUAUGCUUUCUAAUUGAAUCCAUUUUCUUUCCUUUAAGGUUGAUAGAUUUGCUCCUAACCUGGCUAGGGCGUCUGCAUCUUCGUUUAAACUCCUGUUAAUUAGAUUUAUGUUUAUUUUUUGGAAUUCUUUUAUCAUGGUUGUGACUUGAUCCUUAUAUAAUUUAGGCGUAGGCUCUCGGACCUCGAAGUCUUCGCUUAUCUGACCGUGUACUAAUUGCGAGUCCGUGAAUACUUCUAAUUUCUUAAUAUCUAGGUUUUUAGCUAUUCUUAGUCCUGCUAUGAGGGCUUCGUACUCGGUUAUGUUAUUAGUGGUUUGAAACGUAAAGUUGAAAGCAUAUUCUAUUUUGAUAUUUGCUUGAUCUAUCAAAACUAUGCCUGCUCCACAUUUAUUUUUCCCGAUGAUCCGUCAACGAAUAAUUUUCAAUUCUCGUUUUCUUCAUCUUGACUUUUUGGGGUUAAUUCCACUAAAAAAUCGGCUAAUGCUUGGGCUUUUAUUACUUUUUAUGGUGUAAAUGUUAUGUCGAAUUUGUUUAAUUCUAAGGCUCACUUGCUCAUCCUUCCUGAAAUAUUGGGUCUGUGGAGUGUCUGCAACAAUGGGUACCUAGUUGGGAUGACUAUCGAGUGUGCCUGAAAAUAGGGUUUCAGUCUUCGUGCUGACAUGACUACUGCUAAUGCCAGUCUCUCUAGAGGUGGGUAUGUGUUUUCUGCUCCUUGUAAUUUUUUGGAAAAGUAGAAUACUGGUUUUUGGAUUUUUUCUCUUUCGGUAACUAGAACCGAACUUACAGCGGAAUCUGACACUGCAAUGUAUAGAAACAAAGUUUCUCCUUUCUGUGGUGUUUGCAGUAUCAGGAGUUCUGAAAGUUCCUUUUUAAUAUUAUCUAACGCGUUACUGCACUCCUUAUUCCAUUCGAUUUUUCCUUUGUGCUUCCUAAUUAGUUUGAAGAAAUCCUUACAUUCGUCUGUGGAUCUGGGGAUGAAUCGGUGGAGUGCUGCGAUUUUCCCAUUCAUUGAUUGCAGAUCCUUCAGGUUUUUCGGUAUUUCCAGUUCCCUAAUGGCCUGAAUUUUUGUUGGGUUGGAUUUUAUUCCGUCUAGGGUUAUAAUGUAACCUAAGAACUUUCCUUCCCUUACUCCGAACACACACUUAUCUAACUUUAGUUUUAUACCGAAUUUUCUCAGGUUGUUGAAGGUUUCUUCUAAGUCCUGUGGAUGAUCUUCCUUCGAUUUGGAUUUCACAAAGAUAUCAUCUACCUACACUUCCACAUUCCUGUUGACUUGAUUCUUGAAGAUUUCGUCCAUUAAUCUUUGGAACGUUGCUCCUGCGUUUUUUAAUCCGAAUGACAUCUUAGUGUAGCAGAACGUUCCUAUUUCCGAGAUAAAUGAGGUUUUUUCCUCGUCGUGCUUAUUCAUGGGUAUUUGGUUGUAUCCUGAAUAUGCGUCCAUAAAACUAAGCAACUCAUGACUAGAGCUUCUGUCUAUCAGCUGGUCAAUCCAAGGUAGCGGAUAGCUAUCUUUCGGACAAAAUUUAUUCAGUGACGCAAAAUCGAUACACAUUCUCCAGGUUCCUACAGAUUUCUUAAUCAUAACUAUAUUUGAAAGCUAUAUGGGAUAUUUUACUUCUCUUAUGAAGUCGUUUUUUCUUAACUUCUCUAUUUCUGGGAUAUUGGAAGGUCAGAAGAAGAGAAACGCGCUGUGUUUGAAAUUAGUCAAAGAAUGGGUUUUAAAUUUUUAUGUUAAUAAUAUUUUCUAAACUAGAAGGAUUUUUUCACAAAAUAUCAAAAUUGAUCUCUGUAGUUAGUUAACUGACGACACAAACACGAGGGAUCUGAAAAAGAAAGGGAAGUACCAACAAAGAAUCGAACGGGAGGGAAAGAGGGCAAUCGUCUUGUUAAUCGGACCUUGCGGCGGAGGAAACGUUCACACCAAAAUCACCGACACUGUCCUCUUCCCGUCUAUUCUCUGUCUAUAAAUAGAACUAACACAGCCUGAAGUCGGCGACGUAAGGAUCGCCGCCGUAACUAUUCUGUUUACUCAUCUAUCUGUUUCCCGCUUUUUCUUUCUUUCUCUUUCUUUCCGUUUCCUUUUCAUUUUUUUCUUGUAUGGCGUCGUUUCCACCACUGAUCUCCUCGAUGCAAACUGAAAACGUCACCAUGGCACCCCGGUUUGGAUUUCACAUUCAAUGUACGAUUUCCAAUCCCUAGUUUGUUAGUUAUUAAUUGAAGAUUACCUCCCUCUUAUUUUAUUUUUCACAUAUAAUCUGUACGUUGGAAUUUGUUUCGGUGAUCGAGAGUUAUUCUUUCUCUCCCUGUAUUUUUGUCCUUAUUGAUGGGUUUUUGAGCUCUUAAUUAUUUUUUAUUACUACAACUGAGGUGCAAAUUUAAUUGAAAUGUCUUUUGGUCCUUUCUCUGAUAGUAGUUUUUUUUUUGUGUUUACUGAUGAUGAGCACAAGCUUAUGCAAAGUUUACUUGGCCUUUUUUUUUCUUCUUUCAGAAAUCUCAACUGCUAACCUGUUAUGAUGGCAUUGCCAGAGUCUGAUGUUGUGAAUGGGGGGGAGAGUAACGAUGUUGUAGCAGAUGGUAAAAUUGUGAAGAAUGGUGGCAUAACAAUUCAGUCUUCUUCUUCCAAGAAAAAGUUUGUAUUAAAAGAUACCCUCUCUUUUGCUAACAUUUUAAGAUCAAGGAACAAGUUUGUGGAAGCUCUUUCUAUGUAUCAAACCAUUUUGGAAAAAGAUAGUUCAAAUGUCGAAGCUUAUAUUGGAAAGGGAAUUUGUCUUCAGACGCAGAACAUGAUAAGCGAAUCUUUUGAAUGUUUUAUAGAGGCUAUUAAGCUUGAUCCGCACAAUGCAUGUGCACUUACCCAUUGCGGAAUUCUCUACAAGGAUGGAGGGCUCUUGCAGGAAGCUGCUGAGGUAUGCAUUCUUUUAAUCUCUAAAAUGAUUAUUAUAGUAUUUAUGUAAUUUUCAAAACACUUUAUGGCAUAGGAUAUAAAAAGGUGGGAGCUGUCUUUGCAAAAGUUAUUUUUGUUUGCCGGCAAGUGUUACCAUCUAUAGUUCUGUUUCCAUGUUUGGGUUCAAAUGUUUUUUCUUUCUUUUUCUCAUUCACGUUUGAUGUUUAAAACACUUUAUCGUGCUAAAAUUCUUAUCUCUUUUUUAGUCACCCCUAUUUCAAUUCAAGUAUUUAAAUAAGACUUGGUCAUCUUCUUUGAUGCCAAUAUCUAUAAAAAAUAUCUAGUACUCGUAGAUUGAGGUUAAUGCUUUACUCUCUGAGGAGUCUAAUUCCUUGAGACACUCACCAGAAUCUAUAUAAUGCCAAUGGCAGAGCUAUGUAGUGAUAACAAUCAAUAAUGAUAAGCUCUAAGCUUAUCUCUCAAAUGAUUAUAUCUGGAUUUGGCCCUUUAUUUUAUAUUAAUAGAAUUAUAAAUUUAUACAAAAAAAGUAUUUUUCAUUUUAGCUAUGAGUUAGGAUGGAAACUUGGAAUACUGAUUACAGUAAAAGGACAAGAUAUCUUUUCUGUAUUUUUAUUUAAAGCAGUUAAAUAUUUUCGUUAAGAGAAAAUGAAGGAUAUUUCCCUGAAUACAAUGGAAAUUAGCAUAAGAAUAAAAAUAUGAAAAUUAGUGCAGGACUCAUUUUGACACUUUCCACACAACCAUUUUGCCUAGUAUAGAAACUAGGCUCUCUGCUUCCGGAGGUUGGUCUUCCAUAUCUGUAUCGUGCUAGGUCCCAAGGGACGACAACAUCUCUUCUUGAAGCCCUUGGAUAGGAAAUAUUUAUGUCAUUAAUGACUUCUUUGAGAGCUGUUUCUGGUGGCCGGAAUGAAUGUUGUUGCCAUCUUUUGUUUCUUUCUGCCCAUAUAUGUCAACUCAAGGGUCCAAUCAUAUUCCAUAGUAGGCCCUAAAUUUGAGAGUGCCGUGUUAGCUUUUGACAUGCCUCAGUUAGGUCCCCUAGUCUAAUUUCAGGAUGUGUGAUAGUAGGCGUGGCCGCGUGGCUAUAUUCAUGAUUUUCCAUAAAUUUGUGGGAUGCUUUACUUCUGUGGCAAACCCCCGAGUUUCACGGGUUUAGAGUCAAUGUGCAUGCCUCAUUUCUCACACCAGCUACAUUUUUAUCUUUACUAUGUAUUUUCCUGUUCAAUUUCCAUUCUAAUGGACUUUUAACUUCAUAAAAAAACAAUAAAUAUUUUUUUAGUUCAAUAGGCGAUCUUUGUAACACUAACACUUGUUGCAUUUUCUUACAGACGUAUAAAAAAGCUCUUCAUGAAGAUCCUGGUUACAAACCAGCUGCCGAGUGUCUUGCGAUUGUUUUAACAGACCUUGGAACCACCUUAAAGCUUGCUGGAAACACUCAGGAGGGAAUACAAAAAUAUUGUGAAGCUUUAAAAAUAGACAACAGCUAUGCUGUAAUACCCCAGCUAUAAAACUUCAUUGUUUUCUGUCUGUUGUGUUAAUUUCAAUGAUAUUUUUUCAUGCAGCCUGCUUAUUAUAAUCUAGGGGUUGUAUAUUCAGAAAUGAUGCAGUAUGACAAUGCUCUUACCUGUUAUGAGAAGGCUGCUCUACAGAGGCCUAUGUAUGCAGAAGCAUACUGUAACAUGGGAGUCAUACACAAAAAUCGAGGGGACUUGGAAUCGGCAAUCACUUGCUAUGAGAGGUGCUUCCUUGUUAUAUGUUCAAUUAUUUAGCAUGUGAAUUGUGAAAGAUACAUAACUAAUUUUCAUUUCACAUUUGAUGUAAAUUUUCUUUUCAAUUUUCAGAUGCUUAGCUAUGUCUCCUAACUUUGAGAUUGCCAAAAACAAUAUGGCAAUAGCUUUGACAGAUUUGGGAACAAAGGUGUGUUUGAUCACUUUUCUUGAAUACUUUUUUUUUUGAUAAAGUUGAGGGCUUCUUGAAAACCAUGGCUGAUUGGGUACUUUUUUGUUAUGAUUACAUUUUCAAAAAGUGUCGAUGGGCUCAUGGGUCUGUCCAUCUUUUUCUCCGAUAUGCCAUUUUUCACUUGGCUGUUUAGCUAAGAAAAAAAACUAGUUAUAUAUUUUUUUCCAACGAAAAAUACAGGCUUAAUCAUAUAUUUAUUUUAUUGACCAUUUAUUAUCUUACUGUUUGUUAUACAUGAAUUAAUGCAGGUAAAACUAGAGGGCGAUAUUAACCAAGGUGUGGCUUAUUAUAAAAAAGCCUUAUACUACAACUGCCGAUAUGCUGACGCCAUGUAUAACCUUGGUGUUGCAUAUGGUGAAAUGUUAAAAUUUGAAACUGUAAGUUAUUCCUAUAUGGCUGUAUGUCUAUUUCUCAUAAGGAAAAGAUUAAGAUCAUUAUAUGAUUUUUUCUAAUAAUUGUUGCAUACCAUUUGUGAUCGUGUUAGAUAAUUGAAAUAAAUGCUUUUCUUUGACGUUCUUUUGUGAAGGCAAUCAUAUUUUACGAGCUUGCUUUGCACUUCAAUCCGCAAUGUGCAGAGGCAUGUAAUAAUUUAGGAGUAAUAUACAAAGAUAGAGAUAAUCUUGAAAAGGCGGUGGAGUGUUAUCAGGUGAUUUUUAUGAAUAUUUCAUUUGAUCUUGGAUGUUUUUCAAUUUCGCACUUUUCUGUGUUCUUUGCAAGAUUUGGGUAUUAUAUUACUAUUAACUCUGAUAUUUAUAUAAUAUAUGAACUUGUUAUCUUUCAGACAGCGUUAAUGAUCAAACCAACAUUUUCUCAGUCUCUAAACAAUCUUGGUGUUAUCUACACUGUCCAGGUCAAUCUCCUGAUCCUCCUCUUUCAUUCAUAUUAUUUUUGUGAAGUGGAUGCAUAUGGUGAGAAAUUCCUUGUUUUUUACAGGGGAAAAUGGAUUUGGCGGCUAACAUGAUUGAAAAAGCAAUUGCUGCCAAUUCCACAUAUGCAGAAGCAUAUAACAAUUUGGGUACCAGCUAUUCUUUACUAUUAUAUUUUUUGUAAUCGUGAAUUAUUAGCAUUGAAGAUCUUUGUCAUACAUUUCUAGUAAAAGGGAUUACCUAAUAGCAUGUAGUCAUGUAAAUAAGUACUUAACUAUGUAGAGUUAAGUAUAAGAUAUAUCUUAUAUUUAAAAAAUUCUAUAUUUAUAGAGUAACAUUUAUAUUUAUGCAUACAUUUCAUUCAAUUUGAUUAUUGAGAUAUAUUAUACUUCUGCAGUUCUGCUGUUAUUACUUUGCUCGAGUUAAUAUUUUCCUUGGUAACACAUCCAAUCUCCAAAUUCUCUAUGUUUAGGUGUUCUCUAUAGAGAUGCAGGAGACAUUGCCUUAUCUAUUGAUGCGUAUGAGAAGUGCCUUCAAAUUGACUGUGAUUCACGUAAUGCUGGCCAGGUAGUGCAUAAAUGGCAUAAUUGUUCUUAUUAAAAAAUUAAAAAAAGUUAAUUUUUAAUCAGCUUAAAUGUCUUGUUCAUUUGUUAACUGGAUCUAUUCAAUUUUUCUUUAUUAACCCUACCAUGUGUCAUGUGUGCUAGUAAAACAAGGUAGCCUAUUUUGAAACAUUGAGGUUCUGUCACUUUGUCAGUUUACUUGCAAAUAUAUUCACGAUUUUUUUGUAUCCAAAAAUAUACAUGUGAAUUUUAUUUUUCUUACACAAUCCAAAAUUAACAUCAUGUUAAAACUUUUUUUUUUGAAAGCAACGUCAUGUUAAAACUUGAAUUUAGUACAAUAAGGUAAAAAUAUGUUCGUUUUUAAAAUGUCAACUCAUCAAUUUAUUAUAAAUUUAUAAUUGGGACUUAGGUAGAAAUGCAUUUUUCCUAGUUAAUAGUUACAAGAUGCCAAGAUGGUACAUUCUAAAAAAGGAUGAUAGAUGGUAGUAAGUAGUAAGUUAUUUUGUAGACAAUAUGUUCAAUUAAAAUAAUCUUUCUGUUGAAACAUAUUUCUAUAAAUUGGGAUACUUUUUUUAUUUUUCAAAUUUUAACAAAUCAUUUUUUUCUAUCUAAUAAUUUAUCUGGUUGAUACAUCAUUAAGAUGUUUACAGUUUACUUCUUUUCACAAUUCUGUUUUCCUUUUCAGAAUCGUUUGCUAGCAAUGAACUAUGUAAAUGAGGGCGAUGAUGAUAAACUUUAUGAAGCUCACAGGUAGUUAUUCUCUAAUACACUUUCUAUUUCUCUCAGACCACAUGUGUCAUGAUAGUACUCCUGUACUUGAUGAAUUUAACACUUUCACUGGCUUGGGUAUAAACAGAGGAAAUAUUUCCAUGACUUUAUCAAAAGUAUGCCAGGGGGAUGAACAAUUAAUAAACAUACUGGGUUUCCAAGAAAAACACCUACCAAUCAUGUAUCUAGGCCUUCGGCCUUCCUAUUACAGGGAAGAAAAAAAUCCAUAAUCAAUGAUGGAAAUUAAUACAACCAGUAGAAAAACUGUUAUCCAAAUGAAAAUAAUGCAGGAUCAAUUAAUCCCACAGAUCAGAGAUUCAAUCAACUAGACAAGAUGGUGUUCUUGGUGAUUUGUGAUUGUAGGUUGAAUAAAUCUGGAUCGGAAAAUAGUAGGGAAAAUAGAAGGAAUUGACAGAAAGAAAAUGGGAGUAAAGGAUAGAGAACAAAGUAAAGGAGUACCUGAAUAAUGGUAUCAAGAAUUGCUCCUCUUUUCAGGUCCACUAUAUUUAUACUCAGGAGUCAGGACCAGGGUUAGAGGACAUGAUCACAGGACCACAGUAUGAGUGUGUGUGGUUCAGAGGUUGAACACACAGGCUCGAGCUAUUCUUAGGCCUCAUUUGGGGUCUGCUCUAUAUAAUUAGUUAAAUAUAGAUGUUGCUCUACAUCAGAAAGGGAAAAUACUUAUCGUACAGGGGUAGAAUACAAUUGGUAAACUGUAUAGUGGCUGGAAUGUAUAUAUACUGGGCACAGGGUACCACAUUACCAUGUUUAGUAGUAACCAAGGUUAGGAAGCUGCAUACCAGUUCAUAAUGGAUGGAAGAAAAGGGAUACCAUGAGAAAAAAUGGUUCUCCCAAAGAUGGAAGGUGGGCUAGGGGUCAGGAACUUUCCAGUUAUAACUAGGGCAGUGGCUAUAAAAAGAGCUGCCAACUUUUGGGGAGAGGGGAACUCUAUAUUGAUCAGUUGGGUCAAGAAAAGAUACAUAAGAGAACAAGCAUUAGAAAAUACACAGAUCAGACCAACAGUUGACUCUCUAAUGUGGAAACAACUCAUCGGCCAAAAAGUGGAAUUAGGAGAGAUAAUGAGUUGUGAGGCAAAUUACAUUAUUAUUUGGGAGAAAGUUAGGGUCUUAGGGAACUUUAUCCAACUAAUCAGACUUACUAGCCACAAGGGUCAAUUGGCACAAGGAAUAUGGCGAUGUGCCGGUAUCCAGACCCAAAAUUAUCUGCUAUGCAAUAAAGAUGAGAAAACAAUUAGCCAUCUCUUCUUUAAUUGGGAGUACAUGGGGGACAUCCUCAUUAGAGUUAUUGAAACAUUAGGACAGUUCAUUUGGAAAAUAACUAAUGUUCCAAUUCCUACACUCAACAUGGACAUCAGAAUUGGAGACCUUAUAGAGGCUUGUCAGAAUUCAGAAAUUCUUUAAAGAUACGCUAUGCUGGGGGCUGCAAUAUUGCAAUGGAAUAUUUUAGGGAGUACAACAUGGAAAAUAUGGGUUGAAAGGAAUAAAAGACUUAUGAACCAUAUACUUAGAAAUAUAAAAUAUGCUAUUAUGCAUUAAUGAUUUACCAUUCAUAAUUUUAUUUUACUUAUCAAUGUCUAUAAAACUUUAUUUUAGACUGAUCUACACCAAGCAUGUUCUAAUGCAUGUAUGCACUCUGACAUGGUGUUUUUACUAUCUUUCAGGAAAUGGGGUUGGCGUUUUAUGAAGCAAUUUCAACAGUAUAAAAUUUGGGAUAAUCCAAAAGAUACAGACCGACCGCUUAUUAUUGGAUAUAUUUCACCUGAUUAUUUUACUCAUUCUGUAUCAUAUUUCAUAGAAGCUCCACUUUGGUAUCAUAACUAUGAACUUUAUAAGGUUGUUGUGUAUUCUGCAGUAGUAAAGGUAUGCACUACUUUCUGUAUUAUUUUUGUGACAAAUAUAAUUAUGGAAUUACCUCAUAAUCUCAUAUAGAAGUUAUAGCUUUUGUAUGAAAAAUGGAGAAAAUAAACAAUUUUAUUGUUUUAUAUGUUUGGAUUAUGAUUUCUUGAUAAGUUAUCAUUAUUUGCGUGUUUCGAAAAGUCAUUCAAAUAAAAAAAAUCAUUUUGGACUUGGCAUUAAUGUUUUGCAGGCUGAUGCAAAAACCCAUAGAUUUAGAGAUAGAGUUCUGAAAAUGAGAGGAAUCUGGAGAGAGAUAUAUGGUAUAGAUGAAGUAAAGGUUGCUGAAAUGAUUAGAGAAGAUAAAAUUGACAUUCUAAUUGAGCUUACUGGUCACACAGCAAAUAAUCGUUUAGGUGUAAUGGCCUGCAGACCUGCUCCCAUUCAGGUACGUUCAUCUAUUGAAAUUGAAAACCGAUGCUUUUCUUUUGAAUGUUUCAUUAUUUUAUGAUUUGCAAGUAAACUAUUUUUCUUUGAAGUAUGAAUAGUUUGUUUUAAUUACUUAAGUAUUAGGUUUAUUCAUUAUUUGACAAUAAUGAAGUAGUGAAGUAGGCCAAUUUUAUACCUCAACAUUUAGAAUGGUAAAAUAGUCAAUACGGCAAAGAACCACAUUCAAUAAUACCCUUAGUCAGUCUGAGUAUGGUUACUAUAAUAAGUGAUUCGUUGAGAAUAAGAAUAAACAGUGAUCCAUUCAGAGGGCUGAAGGAAGUACCCUGAAUGAAUACCUCUAUCUAGUUACAGUAGUUAGUUAUAGGGAAUUAAGCUAAUAACAUUAUCACUAAUAGUUGCAUACAGAUCGAAAACACAAAUAUCAGUCUAUCAAGUUGGGAAGAGUGGAAGAGCCAUGACACUCAACCCGACAAGUCUGAAACUUUUAGAAUCGGUAAGAAUAUAUGUAAGAUAAAAUCAUAGACUAUUAGUAAAUACUAAAUACCAUAUGUUAAAAAAUGAAUUCAACAUGUGUGUAAUUAUUUGUGUUCUUAUCUUUGGAAGUUGUGCUUGGAUUUCUAAUUUCUUGGUCGAUAUUUAUUUUUAUCUUAUACAAGAAAUAUAUGUUUAUUUAGGUAACAUGGAUUGGAUACCCAAAUACAACUGGUUUGCCAACUAUUGAUUAUAGAUUGACUGAUUCUUUAGCUGAUCCACCUGAUACAAAGCAAAAGUAAAGUUUAAUUUACUUCAUGAUGAAUUGAUAUUUGAAAUCAUUCGAAUAUCGUAUCAAUGUAAUUUAUGUUUUAUUUUGGUAGGCAUGUUGAAGAGUUAGUUAGGCUUCCUGAAUGUUUUUUGUGCUACACACCUUCUCUUGAAGCUGGUCCAGUUUCACAGACUCCUGCAAUAGAAAAUGGUUUUGUUACUUUUGGAAGCUUUAACAAUCUAGCAAAGGUAACAAUAGACGAUGUUUUUAACCAACCACAUGUUCUUAAUUCUUUAUUGGCAUGAUCAAUCAUUUAUUCUCUCUUCCACAGAUAACACCUAAAGUGUUGAAAGUUUGGGCUAGGAUAUUAUGCGAGGUUCCAAAUUCUCGACUCAUAGUUAAGUGUAAGCCGUUUUGCUGUGAUAGUGUGAGACAGAGGUUUCUAUCAAUGUUGGAGGAACUGGGUUUGGACCCUUUGCGUGUCGAUCUUUUACCUUUAAUUUUAUUGAAUCAUGACCAUCUGACAGCAUACAACCUCAUGGACAUCAGGUGCUUGCUUGAAACCCAUAUUUUAUUUUAUUUUAUUUUAUUUCAUGUUUGGUUUUGCCAAUUUUAUUUUGGGUUUUCGAAUAACGUUUGUAUAUUUAUGGCAAAUAACCGGAAUUUAUGUUGAGUAAAAUAAUGGAAAAUAUUUUUUUAUCGUUUCUGUUUAAUUUUGUUCGAUUACUGCAGCUUGGACACAUUUCCAUACGCUGGAACAACUACUACCUUUGAAUCUCUGUACAUGGGCGUACCGUGUGUUACUAUGGCUGGUUCUGUGCAUGCUCAUAAUGUAGGUGUUAGCAUUCUCACAAAAGUGGGUAAGUUUUUUUUAAUUCUUGAUCAUGUGCGAUACAAAUAGAAAAUAAUUGAUUAAAAUAAUUAAUAUUCUUGAGUAAUGCACCUUUAACCAACUUUUUAUCGAAAUUAUUUUGACCACGAAAUGCACAGGCGUAGGGAAUUUAGUUGCCAAGUCAGAAGAGGAAUACAUUAAUCUUGCUGUUCAGUUAGCUUCAGACAUCGACUCACUUUCCAAUCUAAGAAUGAGUCUCAGGGAGCUCAUGCUGACAUCUCCAAUCUGCAAUGGCGUGAAAUUCACAAAAGAUUUAGAGACUAAGUACAGGGAGAUGUGGUACAGAUACUGUAGAAAUGAUAUACCCUCACUGAGGAACCUAGAAUUGAUGGAGGAGGAGGAACAAGCUAUCUCCGACCUACAGGUCUUAUUGAAAUCUCCCAUUCCAAUUACAUCAUCAACGGUUAUAGAAGAUGCAUCCUUGCCCAUUGGUUUUUCUACUCUCAAUGAAAAGACAGCAAAUGCAUGUUCUGAGUAGUAGAGAAUCUAGAGAUUGUACAUUAUUUCGUGGAGAUUGCCAGAUUGGGAUAUGUUGUGUAUUUAUUUAGCAGUUUGUGUAUCCUUGAAAUUGUAUUUUUAAUCCAUUAUUGAAGAUAGAAAUUAGCACUGAAAAUUUGUAAUCCAGUCGCAGUUGAGGAAAAAGCCAAUACAUGAUUUUUCAUGCCUAUUUUCAUUUGAACUCUUUUAUUUUCUUUCUUAACACAUGUGUUCAUCCAACGAUAUUUCAUAUCUAGGUGUUUAAUUCGACUUUUUGUACCUUCUCGUUCGUGUAGAUUUGAAAGAAUCCCACGUGUAAUAGACACGUGUAUUCCACCUCCACGUAGCCACGCAAUGUAACAAUAAAAAAUAAAAAACUAAUCUUCGGUAGUCUUUCCCUCUCUCCUCUUCCAUUUCACAUUCUCUCUCUUCUCCCACCCUCACGGCAUCUUCGUCUUCGUUUCCUUAUUUCUUUCCCUUUUCUACCGGUAAACCCUAGAAUUUUCAGUAAUUUCAGAAGGCGAUCUUUCCGACCGGUAAUUCUUUCGGCAAACCCUUCCCAUGGUAACGAUUCUGAUAUUCUACACUCCGAUUGCAAUGCUUUUACUUGACAUCUGCUUUCUAAUUCUUUUUUCAUCUGUUUUUGAUUUUUUGUUCCCGGAUUGCUGGAAAUCUCAUAAAUAAUUUAUAAUUCCUAUUCCUACUUACGAUUUCUGAUCCCUAAUUCUCACUGCGACAGCGGCACUCGCGAUUUCUUCUGAUCAAACGGUGAGAAAUCAGACGGAAGACUUUGCUGGAGUUCAGAAGAAGCUCGUUGAUGAUCCAUCACUCCUCAAUUUCAAGAACUCCGUCGUAAGUGUACAAUUCCUAUUUCUAUUGAUCCAUCAUCCCUCAUGAGGUUUUUUCCCUUUGGAUUUUUGUAUUUGGGCAAGUAAAUUCUUGAUUCCCACUUUUUUGUUUUAUUAUCUGUUUGAAGGGUUUUUACUACUAUUUUGAUCAUUACAGGGGUGUUACGGUCAAAAUUUUGAAGGACCUGCUGCUCCCGAUUAAAAUUCCCACUGACUGAGUGGCUAACGGUUAUUGCCACUUUCUUGUUUGAUGCAAAGAAGUAAAUAAAAAAGAAGGUAUUCUUCGAUUCUCCAAUGCUAAAGUUUUUUGUUUUGUUUUUCUAGUAUAGGAUAAUUAUUGAGGGGGUGCAAAAAUUGGAGAGCCUGCUUUGUUGCCGUAAGGUAUUUUUUGGUUAGGGUUUUGUGUCACCUUGACUAUGGACAGGGAUUGUUACAAAAAAACAUAACCAUUUGGAAUAUUUAAAUUAUUUUAUCAAGUGAUUCAACAAAAGCGUGGGGGGUCAUCUUGUUUACAUAUUUAAGUGAAAGUGAACAAAAAAAACAUCUUAUCUUUUUUCAUCUUUCAAGAUGACUCGUAUCUUGGUUCAGCGUGGAUCUUCCUCAAAUUCCAACCGAUCAUCUCAGCAAUCAACUUCACUUCAAACAUCGCAGCAACCAAAUGAAAGUGAACAGAACAGGGAGAUUUGUAAAGAACCUAGUACUUUAGAUGACCCUCUACAACAGUUUGGCAGUAGUAGAGGCAAUGUCUUGAGUGAUGAUGAGAAUCUUCCUGGCAGCCAUCCAGUUGUUGGGAUUGAUCCAGAAAAUUUUAAACAUGGUAUAGAUGAAAUCAGAGACACAGAGACACUGGUUGAUGACUUAGAUUGCUCAGUAAAGGAUCCUGAAUGUUCACUUUCUAGCUCUUCACAGGUUUUUAUUGGAGUUCGAUCUUUCCCACCACCUCCUCCUGUCCCUCCUCCUAAGCCCACUGCAACCAUACCAAUUCGGGGGAAAACAAUAUCUGGGAUCCUCAAUUCUGAUUCAAGGAGAGCAUCAGCCUGGCCUGUUAUUUCAACAAGAACUUCACCAUCAAAUUCAAAACCUUCGUCCCCCAAGUCUGUUGGAGAAGCCGAGGGCUAUAAUAGUGCAGAUGAGCAAAAUACUUGUUUUGUAUCCUCCUAUAAUGACUUGGUAAUCACUCCCCCUUUCUGUUAUAGGGAUUUGAUAAAUAUUUAAAGUUAAUUCAUAAUUGGGUUGUUUUUAUUUUUGAAAACAAACCCUGAUAAUAUAUACUUUCCAGGAGAGGGAACAUUUGUUUGAAAUUGAAAUUAAAAGAGUGAAAGGUCUUGAACUGAAACGAAUGGUUAAAGAUGGAAAUUGUUUAUUUCGUGCUGUUGCUGAUCAAAUUUAUGGUGAUGCUGAAUCAUAUGAUAUGGCUAGGCAAUUAUGCAUUGAUUACAUGGUAUUAUCAACUUUUUAUCAUGUUAUACCAGUGUAAUACUGUAGUUUUUUUACCAAUUUGUUGGACAAUUUGUCUCCAUAUUUUUGUUAUUUAAAGAUCAGUAUAUAUUAUAUACCCUUUGCAAAAACACAUAUGUAGACUUUUAUAUUUAUCAGAGGAUUUUUUUUGGCAAUGGAUUAUUAUUAUUAGAAAAUUGUAUGGUUUUUUAAUCUUUGGUUCAUUUUUUAUUCACACAGGAAAGAGAGAGAGAUCAUUUCUCUCAGUUCAUAACUGAAGGAUUUGUAUCUUAUUGCAAAAGGAAAAGACGAGACAAGGUAUUUCUACUUCAUCAUAAAAACGAGCAUAUAAAAAGAAUAUUAAAUUAUUAAUAUACAAGGUUUGGAAUGCGCCUCUGCGAGAUGCGUCACCACUAGGAGCAUUUGUGCAAAAGCAUGCCUAGGUGUGAUUUUUGCACGCUUUUGCUCCAAUGGCAUAUUUGUAAUUACAUAAAAAGGAAAAUACUAUGACAUAUUUCUUUUCUGUAAUUAGAUUAUUUAAAUAUGUAUUUUUUUAUAUCUAGGGUGGAAGAGGGCACUAGGGUGUGGUUUGCGAUUCAGACAGAAUUAAAUUAGGGCAGAUCCGGAUAGGAUCCACCUGAAUCCAACCUGGAUUUGCCUAAGGGUGAUGUGCCUUCCCUUUGGGGCGCACAUGUACAUCCCAAUCUUUGUUAAUAUACUAAAUUACUAAUACGGUUUGAAAAUAGGUUAAGGUGUUUUACAAUCACCCUUUCAAGUUUGAAGUGCCAUAAUACAAACUUUUUGUUUGACUAUUAUGUGCUCUUUGAAGUGUUGAACUCGUUCCAGUUUAUCAUGAUAACGAUGAAUAGUUAUGACUUGAAAUAUCACACGAUCAGAUAAUACUGCAUGGCAUGUUGUCUGUCGUAUUUGAACCCCAAUCUCUUGUAUCAAAUAAAAAAAAUUAAAACCCUCAUUGCUGUAUUAGACUAUUAGGUGUUGCAAACAAUUUUUAAAAGUGUUUAUACGGAUUCAACUAAACUGAAUUUAUGCAGCUAAUUUUGUAUUCUUUCAUUAUCUAGCUGUCAAGCUGAUGUUUCUAAUUUCUCUCGUAUUAUCUUGUAAAAUACUAAAAUGGUUUAUAUUGUAUAUUUGUAUCUUUAGGUGUAUGGAAAUAAUGUGGAGAUACAAGUGUUUUCUGAGAUGUACAACCGCCCCAUUCAUAUAUACUCUUAUUCCACAGGUUUGAACAGUAUUUUUUGUUGGGUAGAGUAUUAAUUAAUUAAUUGAUGACUUAAAUUACUUAAUAACAUAUCAAUGCAGAACCUAUCAAUAUUUUCCAUGGGACUUAUAGAACUGACACACCGCCACUGCGUCUAAGCUAUCAUCAUGGAAAUCAUUAUAAUUCUCUCUUUGAUCCUCGUCGGUUAUCAAUCGGUGCUGGUCUAGGACUUAGCAGCCUUCAAGGGGUAAGCAAAAUAUUUAAAUUUGUUUGCAAAGCCUUGAAAUUAAUAUCUUGUUACAAUCCAUAUUUUAUUAUUUUGUAGGCAAACAUUGGGAAAGAUCAAGUGAAGGCUGCUAUUAAAGCUCAGCAAGAUCAACAAAUUGAUAAUGUAAGUAAUUUUGUUGGGACUGAUUCAAUCUGAUUGUGUUGUGGGUAAAAGAGUCUUACAUUUAAAUGAGAUGGUUGGUGACGUGUGCAGGCUCUUUUGGCUGAAGGUCGUUUCUAUUCAGAUUUGGAGUAUACUGAGACAGAAAUAGAGCAAAUGGUAAUUGAAGCUUCUCGUAUUGAAUAUCUUGAAGAGCAAAAAUUCAAACAACAGCAGCAGCUUGAUCCCAGUGAAUCCUCCACAUCAAUUUCAGAGCCAUCAUCUUCUGGAAAAGGCAUGAUGAUUUUCUUUUCACAACCUCUGUAAUUGCCAAUAAUUAGUGAAUUGCUAAAUCUGUGUUUGGGUUUUUUCUACACCACAGGUACAGGAGUAGAGCAGAGUAUAGUAAAUUCGGAGAGUCGAAACAACACAACGAUCUUACCAAAUGCUUUGCAAAACAAAAGCUUGCAAGUGAUGCUUUCAAUGGGGUUCAGUUAUUUACAAGCCUCUGAAGCGUACGACAUAUUUGGUGAUGAUGUAGACUCCAUGAUCUGUUAUCUUCUUGACAUCAGAGGCAAAUCUGGCAAUAAAAACUCGAGACAAAAAGGCAAGGCAGCUGAAUGAGCGGUUUCAAGUUUGAAUGAGUAGUUUUUUUUUACAUUUCAACAACUCAAGUGAAAUAAGACUUUGUAAAACUUUCAACUUUAAAAGGUUUUGUCCAAUGUUUGCUUGGAAAUUGGAAUGAAUGAACCCACUCACCACCCUCCAAUUAUGAUGUUAAGAUUUUAAAAUGAAACUGAUUUUUAUUAGACAACUAUUAUAACUGAAUCAGUUUCCUUAACAGUUAACAUCCUAAACCCUUUUUCACAUUGAUAAGGCGUGACCAUUGAUAUAAGAGAUAGCAACUGCAGCAUGCAUAGCUGCUCCUAUAGGAAGAACAUGUUCAUCAAGGAUGAAGUGCGGUGAGUGAAGGGAUUUCGAAGGACCAAGUGUCUCAUUUGCGAUCCCAAUCCAAAACAUUGCACUUGGCAUUCUCUGAGAAUAGAAUCCAAAAUCUUCGGCUCCCAUAAUCACUGGGGCAGCCUUUACAUUGUCUUGACCAAGAAGACCCUCGCCUACGAUUUUAGCAUGCUUAUACAUAUCAUCACUGUUCACGGUUGUUGGAUAUGGUCUUUCUCCGAAUUCUACCAAAGCCGUGCAUCUAUGAACAUUUGCCUGCAUCUCAAUAACCUGUUGAAGAAAAAAACAUAGUUUGGUUGAUCAAACAUCUAAAGAAAGCUUUUAUUGAUCUGCUUGCUACCUCUUGGACCCUUUUUGAAAGUUGGUGCAGUCCUUCAGUUGUUAAGCUCCUCAGGGUGCCUCCAAAAGUAACUGAACUUGGGAUUAUAUUAUGUGCUUUUGUUCCACCAUCUACAUAAGCAACAGAAACCACCUGUGAAAGAAAAAAUUGAAUUUUGAAAUUUGAUAGUGAGUGCUUAGCUUGACCACUUAAGCUAGCUUACUUUGCUCUCAAGAGGAUCAGUCUCUCUAGAAACUAACUGUUGAAGACUUUGGAUUAUGAAUGAGACAGCCAGAAUUGGAUCUUUAGUAGUGUGUGGUGAUGCAGCAUGACCACCUUGCCCUGUUAUUGUGGCAAAAAACCUUUGUGAAGCAGCAAAAACAGGGCCAGAUUUGGUGCCUAGAAUACCAGUUGGGGCAUGAGGAUCAACAUGCAUCCCAAAAAUGGCCUCAACAUUGUCUAAAUGUCCCUCUUUCAAUAGAUAUGAUGCACCAGCAAAACCCUCUUCUCCUGGUUGAAAAACGAGCUUCACUGUACCCUUGGGGUAAAAAAAAUUAACAAUGAUGAGGUCAAAAUCUGAUCAAACAAACAACGUAAUUAAUUGGUUGAUUUUGUAAUCACCGAUUACCUUCAACUCAUCCUUUUGAUUCUGAAGUAAUUUGGCAGCACCCAGAAGCAUCGUUACAUGAGCGUCGUGACCGCAGGCAUGCAUCUUUCCAUCAACCUUGCUCUUGUACUCCCAGUCUACCAUCUCCUGUCAAAAUACCAAACACCUUGUGGAAUUGAAAUGAUCAUCAAUCAUUAUGAAAAACAACGAGAAAUCUCAAGAUACCUGCAAAGGGAGAGCAUCCAUGUCGGCCCUGAGAGAGAAGAUAGGUUUCUCACCGGACCCAAUUGUGGCAAUAACUCCAGUCUUGGCAACGGGAUAAACGUAGCGAAUACCAAGACUAUCGAGCUCAUCUCUUAUCAACUGGUUCGUUUUGAUCUCCUCGAAUCCCAGUUCUGGGUACUGGUGGAUCCUCCUCCUCACUCCUUUUAACCACUCAAAGAACUCCGGUUCUUUGGCGGAUUCUAAGAGACUUCUUCCCAGAAAUUUUAUAUGGGGUUGGGUCUCUUCCGACGAGGUUGAUGCCUGGAUGCUGAUCGUGACGGUGAGGAAGAGCGACACCACGAUGGCAUUUCGAAGUUGAGCCAUCAAGCAAGCGACACCACUACCAUCUACCACAGUUUACCACUUUUAUUCAGAUUCUUUUCGCCUUUUAUUAAUUAUUAUAAAUUGAUAAUCGCCACGUCAGCUUAUCCACUCAUUGGACUACUCAUUGAGAUUGAGUCCAUUUAUUUGGGCCUAUGUGGGCUUUUUAGAGUCUUAAAAUUCGGUCUGGUAUAUAAAAACCCUAGAGAGAAUCGAUACACACAACAUCACCACCACCCACUUCUGGUAUUCUGGAGUUCUAUUGGGGGUGAGCUCCACUCAAGUCGCGGUCGGCAACAAUGGCGGCGAGAAUUGUAACACAAUUCCGUUCAAAACCACUUCUUCCAUUUCUCAUACAUCUCUCCUCCGCCACCGCCAUUGUACGCGCAAUCUCUACCCAAACUUAUCUCUGUCAGGAAUCCCAAAUCCACGACAAAGCGUCUCCUCUACCCCCAAAUCCGUCUACAGGUAGUCCGCUUUAUCAAGAAAACUGGCGUAGCCCUAUCCCAUCAGGACAAGGGCAUCAAUCUCUCGUCUCGACGAGCCCUGCUUUCUCAGUUCCAACCGUGUCUUUGUCUGCGAGUAUUUUGGAUGACGCCCGGACCCCGGAUGUUUCUACUUUGAUGAAUCUUUUUGCCGAUUGGAUGACGUCGCAACGGUGGCUUGAUAUGAAGCAGUUGUUCGAGUCUUGGAUUAGGUCCUUGGAUGCGUCUGGCAAACCGAAUAAGCCUGAUGUUAGUCUAUACAAUCAUUAUCUUAGGGCUAAUCUCAUGUUGGGAGCUACUGCGGCCGAUCUUUUGGAUCUUGUUGCACGGAUGGAAGAUUAUCAGAUUACUCCCAACGCCGCUUCUUUUAAUCUCGUUCUCAAGUCUAUGUGCCAGGCUAGGGAAAGUGAUGCUGCUGAAAAGCUUUUGGAUAGGUAUAUUGGAUUUGUAAAAUGCUUGUUUUUUUAUGGAUUCAUUGUAUUGUUGUUCUUAGUUGUUAGUUUCAUGGUAUUUUUUAAUUGCUGCUUCAAUUCUUUGUUUUGUUUGAUCACUUGAUCACGAUUUGUUCAAAAAUAUCGAGGGAAAAAAAUGAAAAUAUAAAUGUAGAAGUCCAUGAAAAUCGGAACAACAAACAAACUUCAAAUUUAUUGUUUUGGAAUCGUUGUUUUAUUUUAUUUUUUGUAUAUACUUUAAGUUAGUUUGUAAAUCGAGAUGUUUUUUGUCUGGACUGUUUAGUCAAAUUCAACCUGACUCGAUCUUAAAUUCUUAAUUAUUACCUCAUCUUUUUUGGAAAUUAAUUUAUUGUUUUUACCUUUUACUGAGACAUUUGUAUUCCUCCUAAAUAAUAUAAAAUUUCCUGUCAUAAAAAGAUUCAAGCCUCCAACUUCAAGCCCCCUGUGAAUCUUUCCAGGAUGUAGAUUCUGAGGUUAUUUCUCACAUGUUUGAGACUCUCAGAAUUCUCUUGUAAUGAUCCUGGGAGCAGAAUUACGUCAGUGGACGGUUUUCUAUCUUUAAUAACAUAAAUAUCUGGUAUUUCAUUUCUACUUUGCAAAGUUAAUUGAUUUAAUAUUUAAAUCAUGAUUUGUUAGCUUUUUGAUGAAUUUAUCUUUUUUUGUUACACUCCAAUGUUGUAUGGUACUUUAGUUAUGUUUAUAAUUUUAUACCAGGAUGCUACAGAAGGGAUCUACUACUUUGCCAGAUGAUGAGUCAUAUAACUUAGUCAUUAACCUGCUUUUCUCAGAAGAUCAAGUUGAUGGUGCAUUGAAAUUUUUGGAUUUGAUGUUAAAAUCUGGCUACAUGUUGUCAACCAGUGUGUUUUCAGUUUGUGCAAAGGCGUGUAUAAAAGAAGGCCGUCUAGAUACAUUGACAUCUAUCAUUGAGAAGUGUAAGGUAAAUCAUACAAUUUAAGUCUUAUACACUUGGGGGAUGGGUCUCUUUACGAUUUGUGCAAAGGCUUGUGUAAAAGUAGGUUGUAUAGAUACAUUUACCGAUUGAUAUUCAUCAUAAAGAAGUGCAGGGGCUCAUGUCCCUGGUUAACUCGUCUAUAUUUUUUUAAUAAUAAAUAAAUAUACCUGUUACAAUUAGAGUAAUUGACAUGUCAAAUCUUCUAAGGGCUUGUGUCCAGUUGUGUUUGAUGGAAAGCAUUGUAAAUCCAGAGAAACCAACCAGACGGGAUUAUCAGGCCCUAAACAGAGUGUCAGAACUUUGGAAUGAGACUUGGGUAUGUAAAGAUGAGGGAAUAACUUAUCUGAGAUUCUGAACAGAGGAAAGAUUUCUACUUGCUAGUGACCUAAGCUUGCUGUUUGCUACUUGUACCCAAGCUUUUAAAUGCGCGAUUGCUCUGUGUUACAGACCUAGCGCACUGCUUCUUUAGCGUGCCUUAGCAUUUUCAUAAUUAAAUAAAAAUACUCUAAAUUUCAUAUAUUUUUAGAAUUUAUAUACUAUAAAAUAUAAAUACGAUAAUAGUAUGAUACUAAUACAAAAUACCUAAAUACUUAAAAUCUAAGCAUCCUUCGUGUACUUAUACAACCAAAUAUGCUAUAACAAAAUCAUUGGGGAAGAUUUGUGGGUGUUCUUGGAAAAAAUAUAUGAAAGAGCCCUAAUAUCUAAAAAAAGACUUCGAUCAGAUCUAGGUCCAAUCAGAACAGAUAGCGUGUGCGUUUUAGAACCAUGCUUGUAGCGUUGUUGGAAUUAGAGAAAUGCUGAACAAAAGUUUUUAACCAUACCCUAGGUCACAUGAGAAAGGGGUUUCUAUACCAGUAUAUCCUUUGUUUAGAUUUUCCUUAUUUGAUUAUUCAGGACUUCAGGAUGACCUGUCCUGAUAAAUUCUGAAUAUCUGCCUAUCGCUGACUUGUGGAAAUGUGGAAUUAUUCAAACUUCUUUACUUAGAUUUUCAUUAAUCAACGUUUUUUAAAUUUUUGGAGGAAGUGGUUUGAUUGAACUCUCUUAUCAUUGAACUUAAUUUUUAAUGGCCUUAAAAUCUAUACCAGUUUGACCAGUCAACCCUCUUCCAUUGUUUAAGCAUUCGUUUUUAAACCAUGAGGGUAUGCAUAACGUAAUAUCAUUUGAAAUUUAGAGUACUAUCUAAUCUUUGUUUAUUUGCAGACAAUGGAUCAGAACAAAGCGCUCUGUCCAAACUGGAAUCUGAGCAAUGUAGUUCUUGAUUUUGCUCUUCGAGCAGAUCAUAGCAAAUUAGCUUAUUUGUGCUUUGAAUUCUUGGCUCGUUGGAUGGCUCGUGGUGAGGCUGCUAGACCGCCUGUAUUACUUUCUGUAGAUGAAGGGUUUGUUGUUUCAGCACUUAGUGUUGCUGCUAGAACAUAUGAUUCCACACUCUUGGAUGCUUCAUGGGCCAUUCUGCGGCGUUCCUUACGACAAAAAAGACAACCAAACCCAGAAUCGUACCUUGGAAAGAUACAUGCAUUAUCAUCAUUAGGGAAUCUGCAACGAGCUUUUAGCACUCUUAAUGAGUUUGAGAGUGUAUAUGGUGAUUCACCAGAUGCCGAAGAACUUUUCUCUCCAUUUACCUCUUUGCAUCCUUUGGUUGUUUCUUGCUGUAAAAAUGGGUUUGCUACAUUGGAUACGGUAUAUCUAUUACACUCUUCUUUCUUUUCAUCUUCCCAUCAAAAUUGAUUUCAUCCUUCAAUCAAGUUAUGUGCAUGGCUGUCAGGUGUAUUUUCAAUUAGAAGGUUUGAGCAAAGCUGAUCCUCCUUAUAAGUCAGUUGCCGCCCUUAACUGUGUGAUAUUAGGUUCUGCUAACAUAUGGGACCUUGAGCGGUCUUAUGAGACAUUUGAAUCUAUUGAAAAAGCUUUUGGUUUGGUUCCUGAUGUUCAUUCUUAUAAUGCACUUAUUAGUGCAUUUGGAAAACACCGGAAGGUCUGUUUCUUCUUAUAUCCCACCUGUGUAUUGGUUAAUGACUUCUGCCGUGCCAUCUUAACGUCUAUAUAUUUGUUUUCCAGACAGACGAAGCUUCAAAGGUUUUCGAUCAUUUAACAAGUCUUGGCGUAAAACCAAAUGCGACAACAUAUUCACUGCUUGCUGGUGCACAUCUUAUUAAUCGUGAUCAAAAAGCUUCCCUCACUGUGAUUGAUGACAUGGUAAAUAACAAAAUAAUGAAGAGGACAUAUAUUUUUCUUCUAAUUAGAAUAUCAAGUAAUAAAUUUUUUGUAUGUUUUGACAGGUGAAUGCUGGGUAUGUUCCUUCCAAAGAUUUACUGUCAAAAGUUGAACGGCGGUGUUGUAGAGAAUCAGAUUUAGAUGGUAGAGGUAAGGUCCAGUCGUUACUGAGGGAGUUUAAGUACAGGUUGACUGGUGAAGGCCGCAAAGAUCAACUUUUCAACCUUCAAUAUACCACAGAAUACGCUUAGCCUGGUAAGCUUGAUUAAGUCUUAGUUUAAAACGUUUUAGUUUAAAACUGAUUAGCUUCAACCUUUGGCAGUAUCACCUGUAGCAUUUGCAUCAUGGUUUUUUUUCUUUGUAUUUUGUUUUGGGCAGAAUAGUUGGUUCUUGAAUAACGAAAAAUGCAAAGUCCAAUCUUCUUCAUUCUUGUAAUAUAUCCCAUCUUCUUUUGUUCUGAUUUUAAUCUUUUAAUUGGUUCACUUUAUUUUAAUCUUUUUACCAUUGUCUAGCAAAAGUUGUUGAAUUUUGUAGUUUUGGCUUACAUGGCUUGGAGAUAUGAAAUUGUACUAUAAAAUCCAAUCCAGUUAAGUUAAAUUAUGGUAUUAUUUAUAUAGAGAUGGAAGAAUAAGCAUUGAUAAUUAGAUUUUUGUAACUCUAAAUAUCUUGAUGUUUAUUUGAUUAUUAAAUUAUCAGUUCUGAGUAAUUUACUAAUUUACAAGCUUGAAUAGUCGCGUAAAUACGUUGUUGGUCUUAAAUUAUUUAAAUUAGUAAUUAUUUAGAAUCUAGAAUCUAGCAUUGUUUAUUAUUAUAUUAUACGGCGUGGACGCGGAGUGGUUAGAAUUUUCAAAUUCCAAUAUGAACAAUUUAAAUUAAGUAAAUACGGCGGCGAUCGUUUAAUUUAUACAUACUAAACUUAUUAAUCUUGUCUUUAGAUCAAUCAAAUUAGAGAACAGGAGAAUUCAUGAAUUAUGAGUAUCCAACUUAUGCAAGUUAUUCCGUCGUGGCGCGGCGCGGCGCAGCGCAUCUAAAUAUCUAAUUAUGCAUAUUAAAUUGAAUUUAUUUAAAAGAAAUUCCUCGGGUUAAUUUCGGUCAAGAGUUAUUAUUUUGGUCAAUUUCUAAAAUGUACAAUUUCUUUUCAAACCACUCACAUUAGUCAUAUACUCGUAUUAAUUAUAAAGAAUAUUGACUGAUAUUUUUUGCCAGUCUUAAAAAAAGACUAGAGGUGGGUUUUUCAGUAAUGGUGCUAGUUUGAUUCGAAACAAAUCAGACAACUCAACCACUAAAGAUCAGAAUUCUCAUUCUACAGAGGCUAGAGCUACCGUGUCAAACAAACGGGGGGAGGUGGUUGUCACAGCGCUGGUGUGUUGUUGCAGAUCGACGAUUACGGAUUCAUCGCUAGGUGGGAUGCUCAGUGAGUCUUUUUUUUCUUCUUCCGAUCGAAUUCCGAUCUUAAUCGUCUUUUUUUCAGUUGAUUUGAUUUUUCUACCUUUGAAAACGAGUUUUCUCUCUCCCGAGUUUACGAAUUGGGGAUUGGGACAUAAGUGCAUAACUAGGUUUAUUUUGUAGGAAUAUUGGAGAGGAUUGGGAUUUUAUUUUAUUUUGUGAUUUACCAUUUUUCGGAUGUUGGUUUUUUACUCAUCUGUUUUAUUAGCUUUUGGUUGGGCAGGUUUUGGGAGAACUGCAUACGAUGAAUUCAAGGCCAAUGGUUCUAGUUUUCCUACUUCUUAUACUCAUAAUAACUUCCCAGUUCGAAUGGAAGCAGCGAUUAGUCGGUGAGUUGGAUGUAGGCUUGGAUGUCUCACCAAAGGAGCAGAAUUUGGCGGAGAAAGAACAUGUGGUCAAGGAAAAAGUAUGUUAAGUGAUUUUUUUUUCUUAUUUCAUAUUAAAUGUUUGACAACAUUGCAUGAUCCAUACUAGAUUUUUACUAGCCAGCAUCAGUAUGUUGGGAGGAAGUAGUUCAAAUGAGCUCUCUUCUCAUUACCCAUUAUGAAUUUACCAUUCCACGCUGUCCUGAACCCUGAAUGUAUCUUUAACAUUGAAGACAAACAUCAUUCCUAAUGGCAUUAGACGCUAUACCAUUUUUUUUUAUCCGACCAUAAAAUCAAAGUCAAGUGGUCGGAAAAGUGGGGGGGUUCAAUUUCAUAAAAUAGUUGUAAUUAUCUAUAAAUUACAGAAUUCAAUAUAAAUAUGACCAUUAAUAAAUACAAAAAUUUCAAAAUAAAUUAAAACUGAAGUUCUAUAUAUAAGAGUUCUAAUGGAGUUCAAAGUUCAAACAGAAUUGAAAAUAGAUAGAUCAAUCAUCAAAAACAUGGUGGGUACAAGUGUGUAACAAGGAAGAAAACUUGGAGCAAGUCUUGACGAUGGAGAAAAGUUAAGUUUUACAGCUUUACUUUUUUCGAAUUUAUAGUUUUUAUUUAAUUCAUUAAAUGCAAUAAAUAAACUUAUGGGCUACCCUAAACCCGUAAUCCAUCCUAUGGCUCACAAAUCAGUGCGUAGCAUAGGUACUUAGGUAAUCGCAUGGAACCCUUGAAGCACGUCAAAAACUAUGGGUAUUUUAACUGGAUCAAGAACUUGUGUCUUAAAUGGAAUGCAGCUUUGAGAAAAAGAUUUUCAGAUUAAGUUCUAUUCAUAAUAUGAUUUAUGAAAGAUAUUUAAGUUGUGCACUGAUAUCUUGUUCAGAUUUAGAAGGAUGGUUCAUUCUAGUUAUGGUAUCGCAACGGUCGGACCUGAAAGCAUCGUUAGGAAAAUUAAUUUUCAGAUCAGAAAUAAAAAUAGCCAUUGUCGUAUUCUUCAGGAGGGUUUCAAUGAAGCAUACCCUCUGAUUUUUUUUGCAUGUUCAGUAAUGUGUUUUAUAGUUCAAAUGUGUUUAGCAUGUUUAAGACAUCCUUCGCUGCUAUAUAAAUACAAGUAAGAUGACUGAAUAUUUAAUAAGAUUACAUUGAAUUUCUGACAUAACCAAUAAUUGAUGAUUCACUAAGAGUAGGAGAUAGCCUAUAUGACUAAUAUGAGUAAAAUAAAUCCACUUCCCUACUUAUCUUAAUUCAACUCCAAGUCACUGGCACAAACAGUGUUUUAUGAGUAUAUUUUUUUAUGUUGUUUGUUGAUUGUGAAACAAUGAUAGAAACAACAUCCGGUCACUAAUUUAAAAUGAUUUGGAAUACACUUAUAUAAGCACCUUAGUCCUCUUUUAUAUGUAUACAAUUACAUUUUUUUAAGCCAUGAAUAAAAUAUAUUUACGUACCUUUAUCUUGAUUAAUUUUUAGAAAUCAGAAGUAAUUUGUUUUGCUAAUUGGUAAAUGGUAGAAAUCAUAUAAAAAAUUUGUUUUAAUUGGUAAUUACCUCCAUGACUCAUCUAGACGAGAAUGUUUUGUUUGCUUGAAGAUAGACACACACUUAUAUGUUUUAAAGCUUAAGUUUGCUGCAUUUUCUCUUAAUUAUGCAGAUAAUCUUGAUUCAAGAAAACGAAAUCCAGCAACUUAAUGAGAAUUUGCGCAGUCUUCGACUACAGCUAGAGCAAUGCCAAAAGGCUGGAUUCCUGAAUGAGACACUAAGUGUGAUUCCUGAUGGCAAUGAAAAACAAGAUAUUCCAGCAGACUGAUGUAUAAGAACAUGAAUAUCAAAUGUAUAUGUAUAUUCACAUUUUCUGUCCAAGCUUCCAGCUGAAUGAAAAUCUCAACCCCAACCCCCUCAUUCAUGUAACUGCAAGUCUGCAGUUUUGGGCAAUAACUUGAAAUCAGCUGAAGCAGAAAUAUCUUUUGACAGAUUUUACUGUAUCAAUUUUCAGAAACUUUAUAAGAUAUGGCGAUGAUGUUUUUAAAGUAUGGUAUCCGGUUAGUUGGUUGUAUGGUAUCCAUUUAUCUAAUCUUUAGAAGAUAGUAAAGUCUGCAGAUUCAAGUGGAUUGAUUACUAGCUAGCUUGGAUCCAUUUACUUCCCUCUGCUCCUAGAUAUUUGAAUUCACAGGUCAUGAACAGCCUGUUCUCAUGCAAAUGCAUGGUCUUGUUUGACUAAGCCAUCAUCAAUCCAUCUCAUUAUGGUCUUGAUAAGCUCAAUUUUUUUAUUACAAUUUAUAACCCAGCAGCCUGCACCAGUCUUUUUUUUUUAAGUAUAUACAACCAAGCUUCUUUGACAACAGUUUUAAAGAACAGUAAUGCAAGCUUUUGUCCAUUCAAAAUCUUUACAGAAUUGAAAGACUUGAAUGCACAAAUCUUUCAAAUGAAUGCCUGUAAUUAAACAAGAUGCUCCACGUACUGUGCUGGAUUGAAGUGACUGAUUCCUAUAUAAUUAAACUUCAUUAAUUUUCCUUUAAAACCCCCCUUUGUGUCAUAACUCAUAACCUUGUGACAAACACAUGCAUCCAUCCAUUCAAAGACAAUCCAUAUGUCAAGGAAGUUAUUUUACGUUUGAUCCUGACCGCAUAUCCUGAUGCUUCAUCAUCUCUCGCUCUAGCUGCAACUUAUUAUGGGGUGUUUAAAUGGCGCAUUGAAAGAUGUCAUUGGAAAUUGGUAUCAUCCGUCCGAUGAUGCAUGCAAUUGAUAUAAUUAGACCAUAAGAGGGAGGGGUCUUUCGGGACGGGCAGUGGUGCUUUAAAACCUAGCUAGCUAGCAAAGCUCUUGAAUGUGUUUUUAAGAUCGAGAUGGAGUAAGAAGAAAUUGAAUGAAUCAUAUGGCUGGCUGGCAACAGCAAAUAUUGAUAUCAACCCCGCCCAGCCAUGUGUUAAUGACUGCAUUUGAUUGCUCACCUGCUGCUCGCUGCUUUUUUCUUUUAUUUUCUUACCAUCUCAUUCAUUAUUAUUCAAUACAAUACAAUACAAUUCAAUUCAAUAUCCCUUCAUUCAUCAUUCAUUGACAUCAUUAAACACGUCUUCUGUCAUUCAGUCCUUCAUGUCAUAUUCAGAUUCCUUGCAUAUACAUAUAGAACUAAUUUCAGGUGCGUCAAAUCUUACAUGUGUUAAAAUACACCUGAAGAUCAUAAUCCGUCGACUGACAAUGCAUUAUUCAUCAACAAUUAAACUCUGUACAACGAAUUGUACGUUGUAUGUUACAUUAUCCUCGAGUUAUAUUCGUUACCGUAUUACGAGUUAUAUGACGCAUUUUGACACACUCAAUUUUGACCGCUUAUACAUAUAAACCCUAGUUGCGUUGUGUUGCCAACAUAUAAUCAAAUUAUAAUCAGGUAAAUUGAAGAUUAGAAGAAGGAGAAGAAAACGAAUGAAUGAUGAUUCAUGGAUGGAAUAAGAUUUAAGAUAGUUUGAAAUUUUGCACAAAGAUCCCCAAAAUUAAGUCUUAUUACCAAUUAAAAAUCGAAUCUUAUAUUAUAUUUGAGUGUGACAAAUAAUUAUUUAAUUAAGGGUCCCUCCUAUUUAAUUAAUUAAUUAAUUUAAGACAACCAAACCUAUUACCUAUAUUUCAAUUCUAGUUUAUAGAAUUGUAAUAUGACAUGACAUGAGAAAUAGGAAUAUUAACAUGGUCGAUAAAUUGACAAUUGAUCAUUCCAUUUUAUUAAUUUAAUUCUAAUUUUCUAUACUUAAUUCCAUAAUUAAUAUCAUUUACAUGAAUGGCGCGCAAAACGAAUCUUAAUUGAUAAUAGUUAUAUAUAAAAAUACCAAGGGAAAGAAGUGAUCGAGAAGUAGAUGCAAAACCAUGUGGAAUCAUUAAUUAAGACGUAAUUAACACAUUACAUUUUAAAUUAACUAUCAUUUACGAAUUCAUUUAACUAAUCACCAUAUAAUUAAAUUAAAUUAAAUUAAAUUAAAUUAAAUUAUAUAUCGGGUUGGAUUCAUGUGACCUUUAUUUAUUUUAUUAUGAGAUUAAUAGAUUAUAACAAAAUUCAAUUUCAAUGAAAUCUUAUAUUUCAAUAAAAAUUUAAGAAAAAUGAGAGAAUUUAAUGGAGAGUGUUCAUAAAAUAUGUGCAUUGACAAUUUGGUAUUCACAUGGAUGAAAGUGGAACCAUCAAUGCAAUGUAAUUUUUUAUUAUUAUUUGAUAUAUUUCAUCCUACCGUUGGUAUCUGAUCCAUCGGUUGAUAAUUAUUGAAGUAUUAUAUAUAUUUUUAUUUUUUUUAAAAAAGUAGUGUCUUAAUUAAAGACAUUCAAUGUCAUUUACUUGCUUAGUUAAGAUUGUUUGGAAGCAUUAUGGGCAAUAAAUCCAUUUUCUGACAGAAUAGUGAAUCAAUCAAUGAAUAUAAAUUUUUUAUAUUCCAGUUGUAUAUAAACUUAUCUUCUACAUUUUAAUAAUUAAUCUUUUUUUCUUGCCUAAAAUAAAAUUCAUCUCCAUUUCAAUUUUUCAUAGAAAGAAACUUUUAAAGUAUAGUUUCUGAGAUUCAAGGUUCGAAUCUUACUUUGUAUAUUUUUAUUUAAUCUACCUAAUAAUAUAUUAUAUGACUCUAGUAUAUCAUCCGGAAGUUGACAGCUCUACAUCUGUGGAGAAAUACCAUCUAUUAUAAAAAAAAAAUCAUAUUCAAAUUAAAAUUUCAUUUUUUUCAACAACCAUCAUUUAUUAUCAUUUAUAUAUCCAUUAACUCAAUCAUUAAUAAAUAAAUAAAUAAAUAAAUAAACAAAUUUCAAUCAGAUUAAAGUACAUACAUAUAUUGAUAUUCAAAUCCUGAAUUUUAAUAAUGACAUUUAGUACCAACUGAGAUAAUCGAAUUAGGGUUAAUGGUAACCCUUAUGUCAACUUCGUAUCUCUCUCUCUGUGUCCCCCACAGCUCCUAAACUCAAUUCUCCAUUGAAUCCACCUCCUCAACAGCAUGGUAUCAAUAAUGAUAAUACAACAGUCAGAAGAGAAUUUAUAUACGAAAUAGAGUGUGGUAGUAUGUAUAGUAGAGAGAAGAAGCUCAAAAUUCAAUUUAAUAUACUCACUUCUCCUCCAUCCAACUUUAUUUCCUUCCCUUCUUUAUAUAAUGCAACCGCUCAUCUCCCCUCCCAAAAACCCAUAUCUAAUUACAUCUUUCCUCUCCACUUCUUCCUCUGACUCUGAUACCAGAAGGUUUCAUGUUCUUCUUCUUCUCUUUUGGGCUUGCUCUGUUUUUUUUUUCUUUUCUUCCUCCUCUAUGAUUUGAUUUGAUUUGUUUUGUUUUGUUUGUGUGUAUUUUUGGCAGACAAACAGAGGAAGACGCAAAAAUACAGACACUUGACACUUUUUUUUGAAUAUAAAAAGGAAAGAAAGAAAACAGAGAGAGAGACAAUGAGCAGAAACAGUGGGAAGAAUCCAAGAUUUGAUUUGAAGCUUGACUUAUCAAGGAACCACCGAAGGAACCCAACAACAACAAUAACGAUGAAUUCUCCUAACCGGUCUUCGACGUCGUCUUCUUCAUCGUCUUCCCCGCCGAGUUCUUGCGUUUCGUCGGAGUCGGAACAGGAGAGGUAUGUUAGCAGUUCGGAAACAACUUCCAUGGUUCUUGUCGGAUGUCCAAGGUGUCUUAUGUACGUUAUGUUAUCUGAAGAUGAUCCCAAGUGUCCCAAGUGUAAGAGCACCGUUCUUCUUGACUUCAAUCAUCCCAACAACACAGGUAAGACAACCAGAAACUGAACCAGAGACCUGAUAGAACGAACUCAGACUAUCUACCCUACCUAUCUACCUAUCAUUUCUUAACAAUCCAUGGAUUGACCUCGUUAUUGUGUGUUUGUAAUGUGUAGAUGGGCAAUCGAGCAUGCUUAGUUUUUCUCAUCUUUAAAAAAAAACUAAGAAUGCAGAUGGGCAAACCCCAGCAUGCUCUGAUUUUCCCAUCAUCAAUUUAAUUUUUAUUCAUGCUAUAUAUGUUUUUCUUCCUCUGUUCUUACCCAAUCGUCAAUUACCAUUGAUGUCUGCUGUAUUUCACCAAUCCCUCGCUCCAUUAUACCGAUCUCACCAAAUGGCUUUGAUACAUACAUACAUACAUACCUCUGUUUCUUCAUAAAAGAUUGGUUCUAUUUUUAGGUUAAUUGAAAUCAUAAUGUUAUUUUUGGGGACGAUUUCUUAAAGAAAUAGAUUACCAACAAAACAGAGUAGGAGGGGUAUUAUUUUAAUAAAACUACGUUUGGAGGAUAUCUAUGAAAAUUAUCUCAAGUUUCCCCAACUUUGUAUUUACAACUCUAUCAACACUCCUCCCUCCUUCCUUCUUUCCAUGCAACCUUUUUGGGUGGAGCAAGUAUGCCGGCGCCACAAGAGUAGGAGCCUAUUGUUCAAAUCCGAUCAUUGUCGAUGGUUUGAUUCACCGAUCGUCCGUAUACUACAAGGAACUCCGACCGAAAGACAUAUACCUUUUGUUAAAAGCAAAUGUCGAGUCUUUGAAUAUCAUCCAAGGCGGCUCACUCUUUCUGAUUCCCAAAGCAAUCUUCCCCGUUUCAAAAGUUCAUAUGAGAAUCCAUUGCGCAUAUGUUGAAGUAUGAAGGAAUUGACUUUGACAAGAACCAACAGUGUGGGAUCGAUUCAGAUAAUUUCGCCAAUGUGAAUUGGAUCACACAUUCCAUACCUCCUAUGACUUCAGCUACUUGAUCGAGAUACCGGUUGCAUCGACGGUUGCCUGUCAUCUUCGACGACAAAGUUUACGACAUGAAGCAUCUGAUGAGAUUCUGCCCCAAUCUAUAUUCUGCGUUGCAGGUGGACAGAGUGGUCUGAAUAUCAUCAUGUUUGAUUUAAUUAAAUUCACAUUUUUUUAUAAGGUACAUAAGUAAAUAAAAAUUAAAGUAAUUCUAGACCUUCGUCCUUCUGGGAAUAUUUUAAAGGUAUGACAUGAAGCAGGAUGGUUAUGACUAAGGAGGACGGGGGGCUAGGUUUGGCGGAUCCGGUGCUACUCGCAAGAGUUGCUAGGGUCAAAUGGGCACAUAGAAUCUGAAAUGAGAGUUCUCUUUGGGCGGUUUAGAUGCGGGCACGAUAUUCUAAAGGGAGAGAGUUGGCUGAUAUAUCCAAACUCACCUCAAAGAUUCCCCGAUCUGGUCUAGCAUUCUGAGAGUCAAAGAGAAUAUCGAACUAUGCUUUUUUGUAGGGCUGGAUCGCUCAGACAGUGGAAGUAUAAAAUCGAGCUUUAUAAGAGCAAAAUUAUCACCGACAACCAUCUUUGACCCUCUGGUCGUUGGAGUGUGGACAUGUCAUACUUCUAAGAUGACCUUCUGCUUAUGGAGAUUGAGAUGGGGAAAGCUAAGAACAUUCGAUAAAUUGAGAAAUUGGGGGUAGUGGUGCCGGCAAAGUGUCUUAUGCGACGCAACUGAGAAAACGAACAUCCCACCUAUUUUUCAAUUGCGACUUCAGCUGGACUCUUUGGAAUGAAUUUACACGAUUGACAGACUAUGCUUUAUGGAAAACUAUGGGUAUCACAGUGAUAAAGCAAAGAGACAUAAGGGUGGGUGAUAUCAUAAAAGGGAUAUCCAAAUUCAGAAAGUCAGCACCAUGUUGGGUCUACAUUGGAAUGCACUUGCAAUAUAUAUAUGACAUCUUUGGAGGGAGAGGAACCUACGACAUAAGGAGGGGCUCUCUCGCCCGGUUAAGGUCAUCGCAAAUGAUUUCAUACGAGAUUUGACUAUCAUUUAUGACCAUCACCUAUAUAAAAAACCGCACAGGUUAAGUUUGGAAGAUACGGCUAUCAGAAGAUGGGAAAAAGCCUCGCUAUUGGUUACUGACCUACAAAUCGAGAAUUAGCAAGUUAUACCUAUUUCACACAUCCUAUCGUACUUUUAGUUAUUUAUUUAAUUGUUUUAUUAUUGUAGUUUUGUAAUCUCUUUAUUUUAUUUUUAAUUUAAUAGUGACAGACUGACUAUAAUCGAGUUAUGUUUUAAAUUAGAUUCACGUCUUGUUUAUUGAAAUAAACAUAAACAUAAAGGGAAUUUUAUGUUUGUGUCACGCUUUAAAUAAACAAAAAAAAACUGAAGGAACAUAAAUUAAUUAAAAUGAUAAACGAAUUAUAAAAUUUAAUAUCAUAAAAUUAUAAAUAAAUUUAAUAUUUUCAUAUUCGUUCAUCUAGGACUAAAAUGUCAAGUAAAACUCGGCUUGAUGGGCUAGGCUCGAACUCGGACUCGCGAGUCCGAGCCUAAAGCUCCAAACUCGAGCUCGAUUCGUUAAGCUCGAUGGGCAGUAUUACCGUUAAUUUGAGAAUGUACAAUAUGGAUAUGUGCGACCUCAUGUAAUAAAAAAACAGUCAACCUCAUUUAAAAAGUUUUAUAUUUUAAUUUAUUUAUUUAUUGUUUGAUUUUUGAUUGCUUCAUUUGCUUGAUGAGUUUGUGACUUGAGUAGAUUUAUUAUUUCACUUUUUUUAAAAUUAUUAUAUAUUUUGAGGUUAUUUACAUAGUUUAUAAAAAUUAUAUAAAUUUGCGUUGAUUAAGCACCUGACAUAAAAAAAUCACACAUCACUCUCCCCUUUAAACGUUACCUACUAUAGAAUGCUAUUGGUAUUUGUCGUGACAUAUAUGAACAGAAAGAUAUAAAUGAUAAAAACAAUACGUUAGUAGACCUCUUAAUCUAAGGACAUCUUACCAACAGGUUGGUAGACCUACCAACAUAUUUAAGGACAACACGACCUCAUGUUAGUAAACCUACCAACAUGUAAUCUUUAAAGAGGUCAUUAAGGACAUUAGUCUUUUCUUUGAUCUGAAUAGGGUGUCAAAUAAAGUUCGGCUCGAUGGGCUCAGCUCAUGCUCGGCUCGAUGGGCUCAGCUCGUGCUUGGCUCGUGAGCUUCGAGCCCGAGCCUUGGCAAAUCAUUAACGAGUCGAGCACGAACCUGAAUAACUCCUUAACGAGCCGAGUCCGAGCUCGGCCAAACCAGGCUCGACGAGCUCGAGCCUGAGCCCGAGCCUGGAUAACUCCUUAACGAGCCGAGCCAGAGUUCGGCCAAACCAGGCUCGACGAGCUCGAGCCCGAGUCUGGAUAACUUCUUAACGAGCCGAACCCGAGCUUGGCCAAACCAGGCUCGGCGAGCUCGAGCCCAAGCCUGGAUAACUCCUUAACCAGCCGAGCCCGAACCCGGCUCAAUAAGCCAAAGCUCGGCUCGUUUGACACCUUAGAUCCGAAGUGUUACAAAAAAAGUUAUUGUCAGCUUUUGGAAACAUCUAUGAUAAAAAUAUAAAAGAUCAAUCUUUUAAGAUGAUGUAUCGUAUCUAGUUACCUAUUUAUCUUCAAUAAUACUAAUCAAAUAUUCCGACAGUUGAGAGAAGUCGUGAAUCAAAUAUUUGGACCCUACCAAAGUACUAAUCUACAUUUUAUCUUCAAUUCUUCAUCUAUCCAUCGCAUCUUUCAGAAGUCAGUCAGAACUCACAAUUAAUUCCCACCACCCUUCUCUUCCGUGCCCACAAAUUAUAUUAAUAUUUAAUCUUCUCAAACACCAGAUGACAGACCGAACACCACCGUCUUCUUCUUCGUCGUUUCUAAUUUCGAUAGAUAGAUGGGAUUGACUUCUUUUUUCAAGAUCAUCGUCGAUCCGACGAGGUCUUCCUCAUCGUGGGUGCGCUCGCCAUGCACUCGCUCAAGAACUCUAUCUUUCAGGGCGAGAGAUGAGGAUGUUUACAAGACACUCAACUCUAUUUACUUCGACCAAACACCGGAAUGGUCGCCGCAGAAGACGGAGGAGGCAGAAGACGACGACGUAACGUGCUGCGUGGUAUCCGAGAGCUUCUCAUCGGUGUGUAAAGAAGAAGAAGAAAGUGUGAAGCGAGGGUUGAGAUCUGAUAGAAUGUUCUUUGAGCGAAGAGGCGAGACCAGUUCUAUAGUGCUGGUAGAACCAACAACCAGUACUAUCACUACCGUUGCUGCUUCUGCUUCUGCAUCAGUACUACCGUUGAUUAGCUUUGUUGGUGAGGACUACGACGACGACGAGGAAGAGGAAGAGGAGGAGGAGGAGGAGGAGGAUUUGGUUCCGUUCAAGGAGAGUGUCGCCGAGGAAAUGGAGUCUGGGAAUCCAUACAUGGACUUCAGGAUUUCGAUGGAGGAGAUGGUGAUCUCCCAUGGGUUGAAAGAUUGGGAAUGUUUGGAAAAGUUGCUCGAAUGGUAUCUGAGGAUGAAUACAAAGAAAACACAUGGUUUUAUAGUUGAAGCAUUCAUUGACUUGUUGUUGGAUCUUGCGACUUUCAUCUCUUCUUCCACCGGAUCGCCGUCAUCUUCUCCGUCGUCGUGUUUAUGUACCUCUUCUUCUUCCUCCUC
rnacentral:lncRNA from 1 species